rnacentral:lncRNA from 1 species
AGAAUUCAAGAUGUCAGUUAUAAUUCGUCUCCAGAACUUACCAUGGUCAGCAAGUGCCAUGGAUAUACGCCAGUUCUUCAAAGGACUCAACAUACCCCCAGGAGGUGUUCACAUCAUAGGAGGAGAAAAGGGUGAUGCUUUUAUAGCUUUUGUAAGUGAUGAGGAUGCCAGAAAGGCAAUGAUGAUGAAUAAUGGCUAUGUUGAUACAAAUUCUGUGCAGCUGUUUCUUAGUAGUAAAUCAGAAAUGCAGAAUGUUAUUGGUGAGGCUAGGAAUCAAAGUGCUCCAGCAUCAAUUGAGCAAACAACACCGCCACAAACACAUCAAACACCACCUCAGCCAUAUAUGGCUUCAGAAUAUGGUAAACCAGCAGAUAAACAAGUUUAUCCACCACAAGACAGACAAGCUCCAGAAUUAGACAGAGGAUAUGAUAGACCAAGCCAGUCAUACACACACAAUGUUAUGCCUGUAGGACCACAGUAUGACAGACCAGAUCAACAUCAGGGGCAUUAUGAUGAUCAGUUAGGAAGAUACCCAGACAGAACAGCAGCACCUCAAAAUGUUCAGGAACAGCUUUCAUACAAUAGAGAAAGCCAACCAACUGAGAGGUAUGGUCAGCCUCUUGAAAGAAGAUAUCCAACUGGAGAUACUCCAAAAGAUUCAUACUCUCAGCCAACACCCAAUGGUGAUUAUGACCGUCACAGUUCCCAUUCACAAGAAUCAGUUGCAGACAUAGCCAGGUAUGGACAACAGCCUGACAGAUAUGCAAAAGAUAGAUUUCCAGACCGUUAUCCACCACAGAGCAGAGAUGGCUAUCAAGAGAGAUAUCCUCCAGCAUCUAGAGAGGGAUUUCCUGAUAGGUUUCAACCAAGAUCAGAUCGUGGUUCAUCUGUUGAGAGUAGAACAAGCUAUCCACCACCUAUUGAAUUGGAUGAGAAUAGUCGCUCAAGUUCCAGAGGCCAAGAUGAUAUUUCCCCAAGAUUGCAAGAAAGAAAAAGUGAUACAGAAAAAGUUCCACUCUAUCCUCCAUAUCCCCAACAGCAGGCAUGGGAAACACUACGACAGGAACCACAGUCAAAGCCACCAUUGGAACCAGGACCACCUGCACCUGGGAAUCUUCAGAAUGAUCCUCGUAGACCAUGGGAUCAAUUCCAGGUUCCAACUUCAAGACAAGAGGGUAGUUCAGAAGUGUAUCCUCCAGACCCAAAUAGGUUCAUACCGCCAAAUGGACAAACUCAACUUCCAGUUAGUGGAUUAGAAAGAGACAGAAGCUUUGAUAGAAGACCUGGUUAUGAGGAUAUAAGGGAAAUGCUUCCAUCACAUGAAAGUAAUCUACAGCUUAGUGAAAGAACUCCCCCUGGUUUUGACAGACAUCAUUUUAAUCGUGACAAUGAUCCUCGUGAUCAAUUUGGGUACAGAGGAGAUGGUUCUCAGAGAAGAUACGGACCUUCAUCAGAUUGGAAUCAGGGAAUAGAUCAUCGUUCUUCACCAGCUCAAAGACCACCAUCUGGUUUAUUAGAAACACCAGAUCUGAAUAAGAAAAUACCUGAAAUAAAUCAGUAUGAGGACAGUGAUAGCAGAAUGCAUAUUGGAAAAGUUGAAGACAAAUUAGAUGACAAAGGAAAUUUUGAUGAGAAUGAGCCUCCACCUUUUUGGAAUCCAGAGUGUGAUAAAAAAGUAAAACCAGACUUUAAUCACCCUCCCCCAAAUUUUAAUAUCCCUCCAUCUAUCAGAAAUGAAAAUAGAGGACCCCCAUAUGGUGCCUCAAGAGAUGGUUUCAGACAACCAGACAAGGAAGUAUAUGGGUAUCCACUCGGACCACCCCCAGCUGAUACCAAUGAAAGGCCACCAGCUGCAGAUGCAUAUGAAAGACCACCACCCAGAGAUGCAAAUGAAAGACUUCCACCUAGAGAUGCUUAUGAAAGACUUCCACCUAGAGAUGCUUAUGAAAGACUUCCACCAAGAGAUCCUUAUGAUACACAUGAAAGACCACCACCAAGAGAUCCUUAUGAUACACAUGAAAGACCACCACCAAGAGAUCUUCAUGAAAGACCACCACCAAGGGAUCCAUUUGAAAGGCCACCCCCAAGAGAUCCACAUGAAAGACCACCACCAAGGGAUGCUUUUGAAAGGCCACCUCCAAGAGAUCAAUAUGAAAGACCACCUCUUAGAGAUCAAUAUGAAAGGCCACCCCCAAGAGAUCAGUAUGAAAGGCCACCCCCAUCAGUAAAAUUUGAUAGACCAACUCCAUCUGGAACAUUUGAUAGAUCAGUUCCAUCCGGCCAAUUUGACAGGCCACCAUUUGGGUUUCCAGAUAGACCUCCAUAUAGAGAAAGACCACCACCUUUGAGUGAUGGACCGCCACAUUAUGACAAUAAGCCUCCGCAAAUUGAGAGACAAUAUGAUCAUCCAACUUAUGGAGUUGAUGGAAGACCUCCAUCAGAUGACCAAUUUCUAAGAAAAGGACCAUUUGGUUAUAAUGACAAAAUUCAACCAGCAUAUGACCAGAAAACUGGUAGACCAUCCGUGCAGUAUGAUGCAAAGCCUGCUGCUGAUACAAGUGGUGGUUCUCCAAUGGAUAUAGUGGAUGAUCAAGAAGAGAAUAAAAUUGAGGAUUACCCACAACCUAGAAGUUUCCAAAAUCCACCAUUAAGAGCUCCAUUUUCCAACCUGCCAAGUUUCGACCCAAGAUUUCCAAAUAGACCUCCACCUGCCAGGCUACCAGAUAUCAGACACCCACCUCCAAGACUUGGAGUUCCAGGUUUUUCACAGCCACCAUUUAACAGACCUUUAAGAAUAAAUGAAAGCAUUCCAGUAAGUGCAAAUCAGCCAAGACCUAAUACCCCAUUUACAUCUUUAGGAACACCAGGUAAUACUGUUCAGCCACUUAUACCAGGACUGGUAGGUGUACCAGAUCAACGACAAAAUCAACCUUUACAAAGGCCACUAAUUGAUGAUUCAAGAAACAAGUCUGUUGAUCUGAUUGACAAUAGAAAUAGGAGACCUCAGGACACUGACAAAAGAGGAGAGGAGACUAAAAUCCCAUCAACACUGAAUGAUAGGCCAUCAGAUGUAGAUUCAAGAAAUCCAAGAAGUGCAGGAAGAGAGGUUAAACAAGAUGUUGAUACUAGACAACGCCGCGAUGAAGAUAUGAAAAGAGAUGAUGAAAGAAGAGAUAGAGAUAGGGAAAGAGAUCCUGAUCGCAGGCGUGACAUAGAUCGUUAUAGUAGAGAUGAUAGAAGCAGAUCAGAAGUUGAUAGAAGACGUUCUGAUUAUGAUAGGAGAGAUGAUCGUGUCAGAGACCGAAGUAGAGACUAUGACAGAUCAAGAGAUUAUGAUAGAUCUAGAGAUUAUAAUAGAUCUAGAACCGCAGACCGAGACAGGGAUAGAGAUAGUAGAUAUGAUGGUAGAUACAGGGAUGAUAGGGACAGUCGCAAAUCUCCACGAGAUGGUCGAGACAAAAAAGUAGACGAGUUUGGAAGAGAAAGGCGUUUUGACGAUAGAGAUGCAAAAAGAGAAAAUGAAUCAAGAACAACUCCAAGUAAAACAAGUCAGCCACCUAAAUCAGAUAUAAGCAAUGCACCUAAACAAACGCCUGUUUCUCAAAGUAGUGUAAGUAAGUCUUCAAUUCCACCAACAACUGUGUCUUUGCAAUCUAUUCCUGUACCAUCAAAGCAUCCAAACACGCAAAGUACUUCACCGAGUUUUAAAACAUCAUCAUUUUCAAAUCUACCUGUGUCUAAAGAUGCUGUAAAAGAUAACAGAUCUGUUCCAAAUGCACCAGUUUCAUUUAGUAUUGCUAAAACUCCUGCAUCAGCUGCAAGUAGUACAACAUUACAUAACUUACCAAAAAAUAGUGCCCCAACAGUGACUGCGCCUAAACCGAUUCUGAAUACAUCUAUACCAAGCCCACGAUCUUUAAUGAGUACAAACAUAAACAGCAUGAGACAAAGUAGGUUUGACACUUCAACUCAACCAGGAAUAUUAGGAGCAGCUCCCCCAGGUGUUAGACCUGUAAGACCAACACAGAAGGCACCAAUAAUGCCAAAAAAAGCUGCCAACGAUUGGGAGCAACGACCAAAAGUACCUUUAUUGCCUGAUACGUCAAGACCUCAAUCUACAGGUACACAAGCUUUUACUGACACACCAAAACCUUCAUCGAAAUUCACUGAUUCAUCAAGACCUCCCGUGUCAGUGCCUCCACCUAAAAGUUCUCCAUCAGCCAAGAUUGAUGCAGCUGAUCCAAAAGGAUUAAAACGACAAUACAGACAAACCAUGCCUUCUCUAUCAAUAGUAGUGAAGAAUUUGCCUACUAAUGCUGGGUAUAGGGAUGUUAGAAAAUUCUUUCAGGGAUGUGAAAUUCCUUGGGAUGGAUUAAAGAUGAUAAAUGAUGAAGAAGGAAAGAGAAUUGGUGUUGCUUACAUUAACUUUUGCAGUUCACAGGCAUAUUUUGAAGCUAUAGAGAGAAAUAAAAAAAAAUUAAAUGACAAUGUUAUUGAAGUUAAAUCUUGUCCACAAGAAGAAUAUGAUAAACAAGUAGAUUCAUACAUGCCCUCAAAGGAUAAUGAAGCAAAGAAACCGAAGAUAGAUGAACCGUCUAAAACAUCUCCUGCUAAAACAAUUCCUAAAGAAAAUAUAGUUCAGGUUAAAGGCUGGGCAACUUCAGUGAAUAAAGAAGAGCUUCAAAAAUUCUUUAAGGAUCUGAAAAUUGGAGAAAAUGGCAGUGCUAUAUAUAUUGAACAUGAUCAGCAAAGACGACCAACUGGUAUGGCAAUGGUGAAAUUUGAUAAUGAAUCAGACUUUAAUAAAGCUUUAUCAUUAGACUUGAAACAGCUAGCAGGCAAGACUGUUCACAUAAAAUCAGUGUCUCAGAAGGACUUGGAUAAUUUAAAAGAGGAACUUAAAAAAACUAGUACUCCUUUGAUUCCUUCCGCUACUCAAUUGAUCCCAUCCGGUAAUAAAGAUGUAAAAGCUGCUGGAGAUGCACCAAAAUGUGACUAUACAUGUGUUCAUUUAAAAGGACUACCGCCAUAUGUUGCAUUGCCAGAUUUGCAGUUCAGCUUCUUUUCUGGUCUAGAAGUUGGCAAUCGAGGUAUUCAUCUAGUGCUAGAUUCAAAUGGAAAAUCUUUAGGGGAGGCUUUUGCAGAAUUUAUCAAUGAGUCAGUUUGUGCUAAGGCAUUACUAAAAGAUAAUGAAGUUUUUAUGAGAAAGCCAGUGACUGUGAAACCUAUUCAAAAGAGUGAAAUGAUAGACAUGUUAAGAAUGAUAAAGCAACCAGCGGGCCGUGCAAAUACUGGUCCACAGUUUGGACGUAGAAGUACAUACUAUGUGAAAACAGAGAACUGGCCUUUUACCAUUUCAAUCAGAGAAGUGCUUAACUUUUUCCAAGGCUUUAACCCAAUCCAGGAAACUGUUCGUGUACAAAUUGGUAAUGACAUGCAAGGUUCAGCAGCAAUGGUAGGGUUUAGGAGCCAAGAGGAUGCUGAGAGGGCUGUCAACAGUUUAAACAAGCAGUACUACAGACAGAGACAAAUCAGAAUGGAGCCAGCACACAUGUAAUAAGGUUAGUAUUGAAAUGCCAUGAAAAUAGAGGGUCCUGUUUGAUUCUUUUUAAGACACUUUUUUAUUCGAUAUAAUUGUAUUUCUACCUUCUUUUUUUAAAAAUGAUUAGAAUAUUUUCAAAUUUCGAUUUGCAUAUAAAUGUAGUUGAUUUAAAAAAAAAAGCCAACUACCGGAAAAUAUCUUAAACAUAGUUAUAUAGACAGGAUCCUGUACUGAUGGUCUUUCCAAUAUUUCAAAGAUACUACGAAUUUAAACUUUAUCAAACAAAUCAGCAAUAACUUACGCUUCUUUGAAAGCAAUUUGUUAAAUAUUUUGUAUUUGGAAAGAAAAGCUUUUUUAUAUAAAAAAAAUUUUAAGAAGAGGAGAAAUGAUGUUUUGCAUCUUAUGUUUAAAACUCAACUGCUUAAUUUUAUUUAAUGACAAAAUAUUUAAGUUUCUGGUUAAAACAUAUGUAUUUUAAGUGAAACUAAUUGUUCUCUAAUUUAAACUUGUAUACGGAUGCUGCGUCACCAAGGUUACAGCAAUACAACAGAAAAUAAGGUCGAACUAUGGAUAAUUUUAAACGAAACUUUUUAUUAUGAAGUUCAUAAAGUGAUUAAAAUUUGUAUGACUGAACAUCUUUCAAAAAAGAUUUUUACAUGAACUAUUUAUCAAAUAGUCUAAAAUAAUAAGAUAACCUAAUUGUUUAUCAAGCAGAGAGAUCCCAUUUCAAAUUCGUAAAACGUUUUGAUUAUGUAAAUGCAUGAGAGAGAGACAACUUCAUCAGGAAUGCUUGUAAAGGCAAUUUAAAAAAAAAAAACUUAAAGAACGGUUUCAACAGUGUAACGAGUGCAUUUUUAUUAUAAUUUUAAAAUAAAUAAGUUACAACUUGAAAUAUCGGUAUUUGCAAUAGAAUUUGCAGGGUACAAUGAUAAGUAACAUUCAAGUGCAAAAUCUAACCAUCUAGGCUUCAGCAGACAGAAAGCUUUAAAUAAUACUCUAAUAUACAAAUGAAAAUUGACAGACAUUUUGCACAGAUUUUUAGGUCGAUAGAACAAAAAACAAGCACCAUAGCCAUAACAGUGUGUUAAGUUGAUAUUAAACAGGUUAUAAUUGAGAUAUACAGAUAUAUUUCAUUUUACAAUAUAUAUAUGUAAUAAUAGAUACAAUAUAAUAAAGAGAACAUUUAUAAAUCAAACUUUAAAAUGACUUUUUGAAAUAAAGGCAUUACGAUAAUCCUUGUCAACAGACAGACGACUGAUUUGUGUACACAUGGCUUGCUUUAAUAUUAAAAUGGUUUUUUUUUUCUUUUUCUAAGAUAUUUAAUUUUAGCAUUUGCUGUUUAUACUUUGCUUAAAUGCAAUCUGAAUGAAAUAAAUUUCCUGUGUCGAUGCUUUAUACCGUGCAAUUAUCUGACAACGCUCAAACUCUAUUUGCGUUUUUUCUAAUAAUUAUUGCAUCUCCCCAUUUUCUACCCCGAGAUUUUUGAAGGUAUGUUUCAUUACGACAAAAUCAUGGAUCCCAAAAGGUCUUGACGCAGAAUGGUUAUCAUGAAUAGUCGGAUCCAUGUAAUUAUUAAAAUUAAAGGAUAUAAUGUAUUUUUUAAUCAGAUUGGCUUACAAGUCUCCUUAAUAAAAGGGGAUAGUAAAGGGCCAUUUUUGUCGAGCCUGCAACUUUUGUUGCAGAAAGCUCGACAUAGGGAUAGUGAUCGGGCGGCGGCGGUGUUAGCUAACUUCUUAAAAAGCUUUAUAUUUUAGAAGGUGGAAGACCUGGAUGCUUCAUACUUUGUAUAUAGAUGCCUCAUGUUACGAAGUUUCCGUCAGUCACAUGUCCAAUGUCCUUGACCUCAUUUUCAUGGUUCAGUGACCACUUGAAAAAAAAGUUCAGAUUUUUUGUAAUGUUGAAUUCUCUCUUAUUAUAAGUAAUAGGAUAACUAUAUUUGAUAUGUGCGUACCUUGCAAGGUCCUCAUGUCUGUCAGACAGUUUUCACUUGACCUCGACCUCAUUUCAUGGAUCAGUGAACAAGGUUAGUUUUGGUGGUCAAGUCCGUAUCUCAGACACUAUAAGCAAUAGGGCUUGUAUAUUCGGUGUAUGGAAGGACUGUAAGGUGUACAUGUCCAACUGGCAGGUGUCAUCUGACCUUGACCUCAUUUUCAUGGUUCAGUGGUUGUAGUUAAAUUUUUGUGUUUUGGUCUGUUUUUUUCAUACUAUAUGCAAUAGGUCUACUGUAUUUGUUGUAUGGAAUGAUUGUAAGGUGUACAUGUCUAGCGGGCAGAUGUCAUGUGACCUUGACCUCAUUUUCAUGGUUCAGUGGUUAUAGUUAAAUUUUUGUGUUUUGGUCUGUUUUUUUCAUACUAUAUGCAAUAGGUCUACUAUAUUUGUUGUAUGGAAUGAUUGUAAGGUGUACAUGUCUAGCGGGCAGAUUUCAUGUGACCUUGACCUCAUUUUCAUGGUUCAGUGGUCAAAGUUAAGUUUUUGAGUUUUGGUCUAUUUAUCUAAUACUAUAUGCCAUAGGUCAACUAUAUUUUGUGUAUGGAAAUAUUUUAUGAUCUUUAUGUCAGUAGCACAGGUUUCUUUUGACCAUGACCUCAUUUUCACGGUUCAUUGCACAGUGUUAAUUUUUUGUGUUUUGGUCUAUUUUUCUUAAACUAUAAGUAAUAGGUCAACUAUAUAUGUUGUAUAGAAGCAUUGUUAGCUGUACAUGUCUGCCUGGCAUGGUUCAUCUGACCUUGACCUCAUUUUCAUGGUUCAUUGGUCUGUGUUUAGUUAUCUUGGUUAAUGUUAAGUUUAUGAGACAGUUGUAAUAAAGCUUUAUACUUAGGACUAUCAACAUAAUAUCAAUGAUUAGUAUAGAAGGCGAGACAUUUCAGCGUAUGCACUCUUGUUAUUAUAUAUUUUUGUGCUGAAAGCAUAAAACCAUGUUUGAUACAGUUAAAAUUGUUUUACUCGAAAAUUAUUUAAUGUAAAAUUCUUCAUAUUGUAAAUGGUUUUACCUCUCAAAUUGUUAAGUUGGUACCAUAACGUGUUUCUGCAAAACGUAAUCCAUUUCUGUUGUUAAAAUGCCCUAAGAUUUAUUGUUGAUACUAUUAAUUUGUGCUUUCAUUGGGUGGAAACUUCUUGGUCAUUUUUGAAAUAUUAAUGAUUUAACAAUGCCUUAGAUAUGCAUCAUAAGAACAAACUACAUAACACGUAAUAAAUAAUAAGUAUUUUAAGAUGAAAUAUACAGUUUCGGUUUACUUAAUAGUCUAAUAUAUGUUCUUUGAAUUGAAAAGAAAAAAAUGGUUCUCGGAAAUAAAUCAAAUUACCUCUUGCUUGUUUAAAAAUGAGAUAGAAUAUAAUCCGGAUUACUAUUUUAUCUUAAACUAAAAAUAACAACAAGGAAAUCAUAUAGAACCAUGAGAAAUGCUAUGAUAUUUUGUCAUUAAACAACAAAAUUUAGAAAAUUAAUGACAUGUUUAGGAAUUUAAAUCAUAUUAGCACACACAAGAGAAUAAAAAUCAAGAAUAUUACACAUCCUAUGUAUCAACAGUGAUAGGUUUUCGCAGAACUUGAACUAUUAUAAUGGUAAGUGUGUACAUUUUAGCAGUGAUUUGAAGGAAGUACUACCGAAAAAUUAUUCAAGCAUAAUUUGUAUAAUAAGUCUUCGAACGUUUCGCAAUAUUAUAAUGCAAUCAACAUGUAAUACCUGUUUUCUAAUGAAUAGUUGUACUUAUAUCUGUGAUUGACAGGAUGUUAAAAAUGUUCACAAUUACUUUUGUCUAAAUCGCCCCUAACAGUUAAAGAGUAACUUUUUGCUUUUUAUUUGAAAAAGGUGUUGGUACCACUUCUUGAAUAUUGUGACUGACCAACACAAAGUUUAAUUGUUCCAUUAAUUUAUUUGAUGUAACACAUUUUUAUCCACACAAAAUAUAUAUUAAUAGAAGUAAAUACUAGGUAAAAGUCAUGCAGGGUCUAAUGUGACGAUAAUAUGUUGUACCGAGUGUAAAAUUGACACAGAUUUACUUGAAAUCAGAAUGGAAAUGUCGGAGAAGAACAGAAUUAAAAUAUAUACCAACAUUUAUCACAUUCUAAUCCUAAACUACAUCAAUGUCUAGUUUGACGAAAGUAAUUGAUACACUAUAAAUAUCAUGUAUAUAUAGGGACCAAAACAUUAUUUUUUUGAAUGAAUAACCGACAAUAGCGACAUAUUUAAACAAUGUUGGACAACAACGGACAAUCUGGGAGCAAGCAGUCGCCUAAAUUACAAAAAAAGAAAGAUUCGAUUUGUAUGUCAACUAUACACAAAUGAAAUAAAAAUGAACUAUAUUUAAAUAGUGUUGAGUAAUACUAUAUAUAGUACAUUCAUUUUGGAAAUUCGAACCUUUGUUUAAGAUUUACCAAUUUCGUCAAUUACCAUUUAAAAAGGAAAUGUGAAACAAACUAGUUUUAUGCAUGAUUAUGGCGGGCUUAAUUGGGAAAUUAUCAUUUCAACGAUAACUUUUCUAGCAAAACAUCUUUUUUUCUAUUUGAUUACCUCUGCUUGAAAACCAUAAUAGCACUUCUAUAUGUACUCCGCGACAUCAUUGCAAUAAGUGUAUACGAACAGUGAAUAAUCGGGAAAAUAGCAGCUGAUCCUACCGUUGAAUCUAUUAAUCCAGAAAACAAUGCAAAAUUAAACUUAUUCAACUGUUAAUCGACAAAUAACCUUUUGGAUGCUGAUACCUGUUGUACAUGUUUGAUUAACCUGAAAUCAACUAUAAAAAGUCUGAUCAUUUUUUUUAAUCCGCCAUACUGGAUAUAUGUGAUCACCCCGGAUUUUGAAAUGGUACAUAAUUCUAAGUUGAAGACAUGUCAUGAAACUAAAUUUGUGUCUGUACGACUUUUAGAAAUUUCAUACAUCAUUUUAAUCACCAACUACCAACUUUUGUCUUGUUAUUUACUCUUAAAUUAGCAAAAUAUUGGUCGAACAGCUACUUUAUUUUAGGUAUACACUUGCAUGUAGUUCCUUUGUAACUCAAAGUUUAAAAUAGUUUCUAUUAAAUAAUAAAUGUGAAAAAGUUAUACACAUCAAUUUAAUCAGUUGAUAAUAAUAAAGUUUUUUAUUAGUAUAUUAUGCUUUUGAAAAAAAUAGGUCAAUAUGUGUAUUGAUAUAUCUAAGUUGAUUCCCACGCUUUUUAAAAUGCUUUUCAUGAUUUUCAAACAAUUUUACUCAAAGUUGUAAGUAUUUAUUGGAAUUAACUUCAUUUUUUUUAACCACAGUAAUAUUCCAUCCCCUGUUACAUAAUUUAAACAAUAGACAAUGUUUUAACACACUUAAGUGAAUACACACAUUCUAGAUCUUGACCCUAGUAACAUUACAAAUGUCUUAUUUGUCUUGAUCUACAUUAGACAUUGAUUUAUUCUUUUAAUUUUGCGUGGAAGCUCUAUGAUGAAUCAUAUACUUUGUUUUCAAAGAAAAGAAAAAAUGAGAAAAUACGUAUAAAAAAUGCAAGCAGAUUUCAUUUUACUCGUGAAAUUAGUGUUAUUAUCCUCAGAGCAUGAAUUAUUAAAAAUACUAAGGAUUUUCUUAUCUCAGACAUAGAUAACCUUAGCCGUAUUUGGCACAACUUUUUGGAAUUUGGGUCAUCAACGCUCUUCAACUUUGAACUUGUUUGGUUUUCUAACUAUUUCGAUUUGAGCGUUACUGAUGAGUUUAAUGUAGACGAAACUGGCGUCUGGCGUAUUAAAUUAUAAGCCUGGUACCUUUGAUAAAUAUAGAUAGAGUUAAGUGACCAUUAUCAAUAAUUUGGUUGAAACAAUAAACUCUUAUCUGAGCAUUUUCUGGAAAAAAAUGUAUUUAGUUAUUAUCUACUUAUAUCCAAUUAUAUUGCUGUCAUUGCUAUGUUCAGUUUUAUAAAUUUGAAAUAUUUUGGCAUACGGUAUUUGUACUUUUAUAUUUAAAAAAUUUUCUCGAUUAAGAUUGAUAAACACUAAUUUGGAUGAAAAUUAAUUAUUUAUUUUUUUAAUAGUUGUUAUUGUUGAGAAAGUGCAUUUCCAUUGUAUCUAUCUGGAAUAAAGUCAGUUAUAAUGAAUGACAUUUAAAAAUACGCUACUUUUUUGACAAUUUCCGUUUCCAUUUUUUGGUAAAAUUCAAUAAAUUGCAAAUAUUUCUGGGAAAAAAGAAGAUGUUAAACAAUCAUUGAUAGCCAUCAUUUAUUGCUUAUGUCAUAUGCUCUAGAAAUAUCAGUGUGUACCUAAAAGAGAAACCUUGUGUAAUAUAUCGGUAAGCUUCAUUCUUUUCUUUACUUGCCUCUUUACAUAUUCUGAAAAAAAACUCUUUAAAUUCUAAUUUGUUAACUCAAACGAACAUAAAAUAUUUAUCAAAUAACCACAUACUCUUACAUGGGAGACGCCACUUGCAGAGACAAGCGCACAUUUUUAUUAUAAAUGUGAGUAUAAUAUUGUUGAAAGUUCAUAUAUAAGUACACAUGUAUUAAGCAGCUUGUACUGGUUUCCCCAUACUUGUGGUCUACAAAUCUGAAAGUAAAUAAUAUAAUUAAUAUUAUUUAUUUGGCAAAAUGCUAUUGUACACAUUGACUGCAAUGGCUCGAAUGACUUUAAAUCACCCGAGUUCACUCGUGCAUGAACUCAAUUUCCCAAUCGAACCGACCUUACUAUAAUUAACCAACUUGUAAACUAUAUCAAACAACAUUUUACUUGUUCGAUUUUGUACAACUUUGAUAAAUACAUACAGGGGAAUGAUAUAACUAGUGAAAGUGAUAGUAACCGAGCUAAAAGUAUGGAAUUGUAUAGGUAUAUGAACUUACAUGUUUCCUGUAGGCAGUCAGUUCUCUGUAAAUGAAAAUCAUCAUUCUAAUUUCUAUUCCUUCACUCCGGAUUUUUGAACUUCGAUCUUCAUUCCUACUUGAAGUAUACCUCUUUCCAAACAAUGAUCAACAAUCUUGUUCGAGCGCCAUUUUAAACCGUAUCCAUAGAAGGAUUGGCAAGCUAACUGUAUUUCGCUGUAUUUUAAUUAUAACUAAUUAAGGACAAGUGUUAGAAUGACCAUUCAAAAGUUCACGUGCGUGUCCGCACUGUCGGCAGAUUUGCAUGCAAAAUUAAGAAAGAUGGCUUUAGGUAUUAGUUGUUUUGGUUUUAUCUCUCAAUUAUUUGAAAAAUAUACUAGUAUACGAAAACUACUUGUAAUGCUCAUAAAUAUUUACUUCAAAACUAAAUUUGCAUAACAUAUUGACCACAGGUUGUUAUGCAUAACCAAUUGAUUUUCAAUGUUUGAUAUGUCGACUUCAUCUUAUUUGUGCUAUGCUGUGAGCUUGAUGCUGAUCUAGGAGUAAAGAUGAGUGGAUUCGAGUUGAGUAUGUAAUGUUACAAUCAAACUAAUUGUCUUCAAUCAGACAAUUCAUAAACUUUAUUAACCACACAACGAAAAUCGAUAACACGCAUUUCGUAAUUUCAUAUUCACAAAAGGAUUGCUGCACAUUUGUUCAACGUGAUACAGAUGUUUAACGACGUGUGCUGCAUGGUGAUUUUUUAAAGAAUCUUUUACUAUACAGUUGAGACAGUUUGUAAAAUGUACAAUAACAGAUUUUUUUUGGCAUACAUGAAACAGAUUGUUACACAAUGGUGAUGGACCGGACAAAACUACACUGACUCUAAAGAAGGAAAUCCUUGUACGUUUUAUAAGCCGAUUCAUGAAACUUAUAAACACAUUUUCAUGCAGCAGGUUUUUUCACGAGUAAUGUACAGUGUACCGCACAAAAAAAAAACGAUUAUUGGUGACUUUUGUGUUUUAAGUUGUCAUGAGCCCGGUAGUCAUGUUGGCAAAAUCAUCAUUCUAAACUUUGUUUGCAUCCUCCACACGAGGCAUAUAUAUGGAGUGUGUCAGAUUUGUCGUUGCUCUAUGUGUCUUUUAUUUUCAUUAUUAAUCUGCUCACAUAUGUGUAGAUACUAGUAACUUCAUUCAUCUAUGAUCUAUGACAGGUAAAUUUUGUAUCUUGGUUUAUACUGUUUCCAUGCCGUAGGUAAUUAAUUUCUUGCCACCACUAGUCUUGUUUCCUUAAUGAAAAACUUCAACCAGAUGCAAAUAUUAACAUUUUUAUGCUCCACCUAUGAUAGUAGAGGGGCAUUAUGUUUUCUGGUCUGCGUCCGUUCGUCCCGCUUCAGGUUAAAGUUUUUGGUCAAGGUAGUUUUUGAUGAAGUUGAAGUCCAAUCAACUUGAAACUCAGUACACAUGUACCCUAUGAUAUGAUCUUUCUAAUUUUAAUGCCAAAUUAUUGUUUUGAUCCCAAUUUUACGGUUCACUGAACAUAUAAAAUGAUAGUGCAAAUUUCAGGUUAAAGUUUUUGGUCAAGGUAGUUUGGAUGAAGUUGAAGUCCAAUCAACUUGAAACUUAGUUUACAUGUUCCCUGUGAUAUGAUCUUUCUAAUUAAAUGCCAAAUUAGAGUUUUUACCCCAAUUUUACGGUCCAGUUAAUAUAGAAAAUGAUAGUGCGAGUUGGGCAUCCGUGUACUAUGGACACAUUCUUGUUUAUCCUUUGUAUAUUUGUGUAUAAUUAAUCAAUGGUUGAUUACAUUAAUUAUAAUGUUCACAUCAACAUUUUUUUUGAACGAGGUCUCUAAAAAAAGGAUUUAACCUUACUUUGGAUACACAACUAAACAAUUACAGAAUAAUCUACACAGAAUAUGUAAAAAGUAACCUAGUGCAAUAAUAUCUGUGGAGAUUCGUCACUAGUGUUACUUGUCCUCUGGAAAAAACACGUGGAGGGAAAACGUUGUUACUGAAAGCUUGUUCAAAGCCAACCAAACUAGGAAAUAAAUUCAUGUUCUCCCAGACUAAAGAAUGUUGAUCACAAACUGAAACUAAAUGCUUCCGUGGCAAACACUUUAUUUACAAUUGUUUUAGAAGUUUUAACAUAAUAGGAAAGAAGAACGAAAUCUUUAAACCAAAAUUAUUUGAAGGAAUAUUUAAAAAAAAAUUGAAUAAAUUAAAAUAAUGUUAACAUCUGAAGAAUGGAAAAGGGAUAAAAGAUUUAUAUAAUAAAGAAGGAGAAAGCCAAAGUGUAGGUAUGUUUUUACAGAAUUUUGCUAAUUAGAAUCGAAUGUCGAAAGUCGCAGAUUUUUAUUAUUUUUCAAACAAAUGAUUUAGGGGUAAAGGUUGUUUUCACGAAUCCGAUUUCCUUAUGUGACUGGCUUGGUAUCUGUUUCAUAAAUGGUUUAUCACUUCCCUUGAACAGUUACGUAGGAUAAACUUUCUUUAGAUUUAAUACUGGCAUUUUCAUGUCGUUUGUUAAUGGUAUGUUAUACUCCCAAUAUUAAAGUUUGCGAAAUUUGUAUUUCAAUAACCAUUCAGGUAAUGAAAACUGACUGCUAAUUGAAAAUUGCAUUAUAUGCCUGGUGUAGAUUUCUUGUAAAAUAGGUGUACACAUAUGAUCAAAAGAAAACUCGUUUAGAAUAUAUGAACAUUGCAAAAUGAAAGCACUCUACCUUUCAUUGUUCACAAGUACUUUGAAUUUUCCGCCGUAAAUGCAGCUGCCUUAUUUCUCAAACUUGGAACGUCUUUAAAACAAUUCGAGAUCUAUUCGUCAUUAGUAUUAUACAACCACAAAUACUGAACUAGUCGAACAAAUCAUAUUCACAUUUUUGACAUGGAUUGUCAGAAAAAUGUAAGUUCAAACAAAAGUAUAAGCUAGGCAAAUUAAAAUGCUAUCCAGUAGUCCAGUCAUCUGGCCGAGUUCUCUCUAAGAAUUGUUCGUUUGUGGAAAUUGUCAAUAAAUGCAGACAACCAAGGAAUGUUUGUUUCUUAAAAGAAUGGCCGGCACCGAAUUUAAGAUCAGAAAACUUUAUGAUAUCUACGAUGAUAGUGGAAUAUGAAUACCGAAACGGUUGUUCUUACGUAGAAAUUGACCCAAUGUGUGCUCUACAAUGUAAAAUAGUGUAACUUUACACUGUACUUUGUUGUGAAAUCCCUUCUCCUUUAAGUUUUUAAAACAAACAUUUCUCCAAUGGAUUACGAAUCGUAUGGUACACAUUGUCGUGAUAAUACUCAUCAUCUGAAUACCGGAAUUUCGAUAUAUCCAGAAGAGUACGGAAGACUUUAUAGUGGAUGGGUUGAUUAGGACUGUCGUUCAUACAAUAAAUGUAAAUGAACUCGUUUUCACGAAUCUACAAGAUAUUGUCAACCUUGAGACUCAGUUCUGGUGUCACUACGAUGGACGUACCAGACGUUAGACAAACAUUUAUCUAUCAAUAUAAAAUUGAUUUAAUAAAAGCAUAUUAUUUCUAUAUUCGGUGUUUGCUGAAUCCAUGUUAUCACUCCAGAUUAUGAGAUGGUGCAGAAUUCAAAGUUGAAGGCAUAUCAUGGAACUAAUUAUGUGUUUUGUGUAUUGCAGAAACUUCAUACACCAUUUUAAUCAUCUAAUUCUAACUUCAAACAUACUUGCCCUUAAAUUAAGGAACAAUUAGUCAAACAACUACUUUUAAUUUAUAUAUACACUCUCGCGUAGUUCCUUGGUAAAUAAAAACAAUUGAUGAUAGAUCUAUAACUAUUAAUGAAUUAAUAUGAAAAAGUAACUUUAAGCAAUAAGCGAUAAGAUUUACAAACGUAGUGUAUUGGUAUCGUAUUCUUGUGUAAGUAAUAUAUAUGUAUUUGUUACAAGAUGUUUAUUGAUAUCAGCGUUGUUUUUCAUACUUUUUUAAACGGUUUAAUCCACUUUCGAGUUCGUUGCAAAUCCGUCAAAAACUUUGGUUUUAGUGAACAUCAUUCGUGCGUUUAGGAACGUCGUCAAUUCCGUCCUUUGUUGAGCGAUUAGUGGGAAUAAUGAUAAUGCUUUAUUGCACGAAUUAUUCGGCAAAUUAAAUUCUUAAAAUUGAUAGUCAGCACUGCUAUCAUAAGGGAAUUGUGAGCAGGUACCUACCGAACAAAUAUUUAUUAUAGUUUAUCCUGCACAAUGGCGAUCACUAAGACGCUUGACUGAACGGUUAAUAGUGAAGGGAUACAGGCGAUCCCUUUUAUCUUGUUAAUGACGUCAUAAAGGCAAGGCGCGCAUAAUUGAUUUGGUAUGAGUUCGAUACAAAAAAAAUCAGUGCCCUCUAAAAAUUGAAAUAUAAUGUAUCAAUAUUGAGAAAUUCUCCAUCUAUGACAAUUGAAUACAAUAGAUUAUUGAAAUGAAAUAAAAUUAAAUAAAACCAAUUAUCUUCAUUGUCGUGUAUAUUUUUUCAGAAAUCAAUAAAUGGUCCUUGAGAACAGUUGUAUGUUUAAAAAAAAAUACUCAUAAAAGAAACCUUUUUUAGCUCACCUGGCCCGAAGGGCCAAGUGAGCUUUUCUCAUCACUUGGCGUCCGGCGUCGUCGUCGUCGUCCGUCGUCGUCGUCCUGCGUCCGGCGUUAACUUUUACAAAAAUCUUCUCCUCUGAAACUACUAGGCCAAAUUAAACCAAACUUGGCCACAAUCAUCAUUGGGGUAUCUAGUUUAAAAAUUGUGUCCGGUGACCCCGCCAACUAACCAAGAUGGCCGCCAUGGCUAUAAAAAGAACAUAGUGGUAAAAUGCAGUUUUUGGCUUAUAACUCAAAAACCAAAGCAUUUAGGGCAAAUCUGACAUGGGGUAAUAUUGUUAAUCAGGUUAAGAUCUAUCUGCCCUGAAAUUUUCAGAUGAAUCUGACAUUCCGUUGUUAGGUUGCUGCCCUGAAUUUGGUAAUUUUAAGGAAAUUUUGUUGUUUUUGGUUAUUAUCUUGAAUAUUAUUUUAGAUAGAGAUAAACUGUAAAAAGCAAUAAUGUUCAGCAAAGUAAGAUCUACAAAUAAGUCAACAUGACCAAAAUGAUCAGUUGACCACUUUAGGAGUUAUUGCCCUUUAUAGUCAAUUUUUAACCAUUUUUCGUAAAUCUUAGUAAUCUUUUAGAAAAAUCUUCUCCUCUGAAACUGCUGGGCCAAAUUAUUUGAAACUUGGCCACAAUCAUCAUUGGGGUUUCUAGUUUAAAAAUUGUGUCCGGUGACCCCGCCAACUAACCAAGAUGACCGCCAUGGCUAUAAAUAGAACAUAGGGGUAAAAUGCAGUUUUUGGCUUAUAACUCAAAAACCAAAGCAUUUAGAGCAAAUCUGACGUGGGUUAAAAUUGUUAAUCAGGUGAAGAUCUAUCUGCCUGAAAUUUUCAGAUGAAUUGGACAAACCUGUUUUUGGGUUGCGGCCCCUGAAUUUGUAAUUUUAAAGAAAUUUUGCUGUUUUUGGUUAUUAUAUUGAAUUAUUAUUAUAGAUAUAGGAUAAACUGUAAACAGCAAUAAUGUUCAGCAAGGUCAGAUUUACAAAUAAGUCAACAUGACCAAAAUGGUCAGUUGACCUCUUUAGGAGUUAUUGCCCUUUAAAGUUAAUUUUUAACCAUUUUUCGUAAAUUUUAUAUAUCUUUUACUAAAAUCUUCUUCUCUGAAACUGCUGUGCCAAAUUGAUCCAAACUUGGCACAAUUCAUCUUUGGGGUUCUUGUUUAAAAAUGUGUCUGGUGACCUGGCCAUCAAACCAAGAUGGCCGCCACGGCUAAAAAUAGAACAUAGGGGUAAAAUGCAGUUUUUGCUUAUAACUCAAAACCAAAUAAUUUAGAGAAAAUCUGACAUGAAGUAAAAUUGUUAAUCAGGUCAAGAUCUAUCUGCCCUGAAAUUUUCAGAUGAAUUGGACAACCUGUUUUGGGGUUGCGGCCCCUGAAUUGGUAAUUUUUAAGGAAAUUUUGCUUUUUUGGUUAUUAUAUUGAAUAUUAUUAUAGAUAUAGGUAAACUGUAAACAGCAAUAAUGUUCAGCCAAAGUAAGAUCUACAAAUAAGUCAACAUGAACGAAAUGGUCAAUUGACCCCUGUGGUAAUUGACCUUUUUAGUCAAUUUUCAAUCUGCUUCCUUUGUUUAAUAUUCACAUAGACCAAGUGAGCGACACAGCUCUUUAGAGCCUUUUAAGUACAUUUUUAACCGUCUGAAUUUAAUAGUUUUUUUUUUCACCACAAUACCUGAGAUUAUGAUUUAAAUUCAUGCACACAACUCUUCCCGUUUAUCCAUCAAUAAUUUCCCUCACUUUGAUUGUCAGAAGUACCUUAGAAGAAGUAUAUACUCUUUCCUAAGAAUUUCAUGAGCUUAAAGGGUUGAAUUCAAAAAGAAAUACACGGGGUACUUUUUUACUUUUAAAUAAUAUUUAGAAUUGUGACGUUCUGUAUUUCAGUGCUUGUCUUUUUGUUUUUGUUUGUUUUUUUCUUUUUUAUAUAUCUAUAAUACUAAAAUUACGAGGUCCAAUUUGUCAGCCGUCAUCGGGUAAAAACGACAAAUCAAAGAAUUCAACUCUAUAUAGAACUAAUAUAGACAAUGGUGUAGAUUAAAAAAUUACACACUCCAGACCCUUUUGUUUUCCACAUAAUUAAUAUUGCCAAUAAUUAACAAGUUCCGGGUCGAAUCCGAUACCGAUACCAAUAGUAUUUUCACCUGUUAGCUAUUACUUUAUCUGUACGUUCCGCAUUUGAAGGCGCACAUCAAACGGUGUAUUUAGGAUUUUGCUAUAUACACGGGUCAUAAUCAAAGGGCUGAAAAUACUCCAUUCCUGGAUAGCCAGGACCUUUUGUUUUCCAAAUAAUUAAUAUUACCAAAUAAUGAUAAGUUCCAGGUCGACGGGUUCAAACAGAAAGAUUUGAAAGCAAAAAAAAAAACUGUGUAUCUCAUAAUCGACAAGACUUUAUCAGAUGACAAUACCAAUUACUAAAAUAAGGCUUAGGCAUAGUUAUAUACUUUAAGUCAGUCACGGACCCGCGAUAUCACGGGUGUGUACUUGUAUGAUACUAAAUUGUUCAUUGAUUUAUUAAUUGUCUGUCUAAACAUAAACAAAACUUAAAAUUGUAGCCAAAAUUGUUAAUCCUGAGUUGUGAUGGUUGCAGGAGCUGGUGUCAUUUUAACAGCAAAAUCACAAAAAUACUGAACUCCGAGGAAAAUCAAACCGGAAACCCCCUAAUCAAAGGGCAAAAUCAAAAGCCCAAACACAUCAAUCUAAUAGAUAACAACUGUCAUAUUCCUGAUUUGGUACAAGCAUUUUCUAAUUUAGAAAAUGGUAGACUGGACUAGAUUUUUAGCUACUUAAACCUCUCACCUGUAUGCAAGUCGCAUCAAAUUUCAUUAUAUUGACAACGAUGCGUGAAAAAAACACAGACAUAAUAGGUAAAAAUUUGAAAAAUAGGGGUACAGCAGUCAACAUUGUGUUAUAAUCUUUAACAAGCAAUUAUGAAAAAGGCAUAUAUAUAUAUAUAAAAUUUAACAACCUAAAAGUAUUAGAAAUGAGAUCAGAAAAAAAUGUCAGAUAUACACUAUAGCUUAAUAAAAAAAAAGACGGCAUCAGCACCGACGAUGCUUCAAUUCUUCAUAAUGUAUGCUCAAAACUUUUCAAACUUUACAGUGAUCUUUAUAUAUUGAAAUGUUCGUUCCCCUCGAUGUAGUUUAGACCUUUUGGACUUUUGGGGGAAUUAAAAGAAUACACAAACUUUAAAGGGACAUGGCUGUCAAAUUUUUGUUCGUCGAUUUGAAUUUUAUUCUAUUCUCGUAUUUGAUUUAUAUAAGAGAUCAACCAUUUAACUUCAAAAGGAGGGUUAUAGGUUUUUUAAUAUAAUCUGCCCAAACAGAUCAUGACCAAAAAAGUAUUCUGAAUCCAGAUUUCCCCCAUACCUUAUAGUGGUAAAUAUUGAAAAAAUAAUUGAUGGCAUUGAAAACUAAAAAAUAAGUUCACACCUUGAUGUUAAAUGGUUGCUCCCUAAACAUACUGAAACAUAUAUUCAAAUUUCAAAAAGUAUAAGAGAAACGAUCUUUAAUGAAUGGACUCGAUAAUAUAUAUUAAAGAGUCGUGUGUAUUUUCUUGGGCAGUUUGAUUUCAUACUGUUGUAGGUUAACAAUUGUUAUCAUCGUUUUAACUUAAUCAGUCAACCAAAUGGUAAAUUCUUGUUUCACUUUCAACGUUGACAUUCUUUUCCUUGUAAUAGUUAAACACAUAAUAACCAAUCUCCAGCUAAUGGGUUUGAAUGAGAUCAAAUUAUUCACUUCCAAGUUAAUAAUUCAUUAACAAUAUGUUUAACUUAUUUUUGUCUAUUAUUGAUGUUUGCAAAUCUGAGAGCUUGACGUAUUUUAUUGUCAGACAGUUAUCGUCUUCAAACCUUUUUGUUUCAGAAUUAAUCAUACUUGUCUUCUCAUUUUAAAAAAAUGUAUACACUCUUCCUAUCUUUUUGGAUCUACAGAAAACUCUUUUUAUAAAAUCUUCGGGAAGGCAGUCGGGCUAACGAAAAAUUUCGGGUGGCAGCUGGUUCCUGCACAUUGUACGAGUUUGAAUGGCCGCUGGUUUUGAAAAUCUUAAAUUUGUUGAUGUCCGCUGUAAAAUAUGUGGAGUAUACGAAACUAGUAUUGGAAUCAGUUGGUAAAGACUUGAUCUCAGAAAAAUAGAAAAGCUUAUUGAAGCAGAAAAAAAUAGCUUAAUUGUUUUCAUCUCAGAACACUUUCGAUUCAGGACUUUUAUAUUCGUUCACCUUCGAUUACCCAGAACCUUUCUCCAAGCUUAUCACAAAAAAUAUGGAAAAUAUAUCAGAUUCCUUAAUUAAUUUCUGAGACCUUUCGGUGAUUUUUAGUUGCUUGCAUCCACGCAAUAUAGGUCUAUGGAUAGUUGUUUCAAUGGAAAGCAUGUUUUCACAGUUUUACAUAAAAUAAAAAAAAGGUGCAUGGGUUAUUAGAACUUGUUACUUACAGUUAUAACUUUUUGACUACUGAAAUAUAUCAAAUGCUAUUUGAAACUCUUAUUUCCUGAUACACUUUGUAAUCGUUUGUUGAAAGUUGGAUGAACGAUUUUACAUCCACAAAAAAAUAUACUAUUUCAGUCAUGCCAAUACACAAAUAGCAAUUUAGUAUAUAUAUUUCUUUGAUAAAAUAAAUUAAUUUGCGCAUAAAUCUACAUAAUAAACUUAAUGCUUGUUAGAGACGUCCGAACUUUCAUUUUCUUCAAAGUACAAAAGUCGCUGGCACGUGAUUUCAAAUUCAGUUAACCAGCCGAGGAUAAUCUCAUCAAUAAUUUUAGUUGUCCUUGGCCAAUUCCUUCCGAAAUUGCAAGUAAACUUGACAAGUCUGAUACAAAAGAAAGGCUUGAAAUACUUUUGAUGUCCACAGUGAGUAAUGUACUGAAUUCACCCUCUUUAAACAAAGUGCAUUGACGACUUAUUUUGUGGAUAGGAUAAAUUUAUAUAAAACAGGGUUUUGGUCAAUAGUUUUAAUGUCUUCAGGACAGAACUGAAUUCUUGUACCAGUUAGAUGUGCAUAGACAAUCACGAAUAAGCACACCAUCUUGCAAUACAAAUGAGAAGAAAAACUGCAAGGGACACACAAAGUGAGUUUUUAAUGUAUAAAAAACAAGAUCAGUUACAACAAAAUCAUUUUUUUGCUGUAAAGUGUGGACCUAAGCUGACAAUGACGACAGUAAUAUUUCCGUUGUAAUGCAAUAGGCGAAUUAUGAAUGUCUUUUCAUUGGAAGGACGAAUGUAGUUGGCUUAAUCUGGUUAAAAUUUUAGACAGUUGAAAAAGUAGAAAAGUCAUGAUGCUUCAUAUUUUAAUGAUGGACAACUGUACGUAUCACCCUUGGUGGCUUUAAGAUUUAUUUGAAAAAGGAUGUAUCAGCCUUAAGGUUGUUAUAUCAUAUGUAACUAACUUGGUAAAAUGAAAAACAUGUCAAAAAUAAAUAUAAGAGUAAACCGAGAGCUAUCAACAACCAAAAGUUGAAGACCACGACAUAACUUGCAGAAAAAUACGAGGAGACUUAACAAUAGGUCCUAAAUAAAGGCAACCGUAGUAUACUAGUGUUCAAAAGUCAUAAAUCGAUUGAGAAAUAACAAAUCCGUUUUACAAACCAAAACCGAACGAACAUCACAGAAAACUGACGAUUAAGCAACAUCAAGCCCACAAAACCGAACGAACUUCACAGAAAACUGACGAUUAAGGAUUAUGUACCCUUGUGUUAAUUCAAUGCUAAACAUAUGGAAAUUUUAUAGAAAAUCCACAGCCUUUCCCCUUGUACUAUCAUAUUUGGCAAUUCGAUACUUGAUUGAUAGAGGAUUGUUGCAUGCAGUGCUAGCAAUGCUUUCUUUAAAACAAGUUUACAAAUUAAGAUAUUGGUUAAAAAUUAUGGACCAAGUCAAGUACACCUUUUAGGGUGCGCUCGACUUUAGUGACUCAGCACGAGGUGUUUUGGAAUUUCAAGGUUACUUAGGACUUUUUGUAAAAAAAAUUAACACUAGCAAAUCAUAGACAAAGAUGUAAGAAAUCUAUGUUUAAAAUUUUAUAACAAAAAUCUGUAUUAAAGUAUGUGGAUUUUCUACAAAAAUCUUGGUUUUAGUUUCACUGAAUUCUCUUUUUCUACUAAAUGCUAUUAAACUAUAAAUAAUAAUGUUUUGAGCGAAGUUUCCCCUUGACAUAUGUACAAAAUGGCUUAUCUCUUUUAUUCAGUGUCUUUGCUGUUUAGAUACUAUUGCAGUUUGAAAACUUCGUAAUUGACAGGCCAUAGAAGGGGUCAUAAACCUUGAACAACAUCAAGCCCAUAAAACCAGGAUAAACCCAGUUUCCGCAGGUGGAAGCAAUUCAUCUUCCUGAGGUUGUUGUCUGGCGUGUUGCAUUGGUAAACACCAAGCGAUAGUUGCAUUCGGUAAUGUAACAAACGGGAGAAUGAAAUCGGGAUAAGCUUAUUUGUGAUACAGAUGUUCAAUAACCAACUUCCGAUCGGCAGAUUUCAAGUCCAUUAUAAAAAAAAACCUUUACAAAUGUAUUCCUUGUGUGGAGGAACUAUUAAAGGGGCAACUAGUAUGAGAUGUAUAAAAAAAUAUAGAAUAUGUUAAAAAAAAUUGGUUCAAUCAUUAAUGAAAGUGAAAUAGUAAAAUGACAAUUCGCUUUCAGUAUCGUUCAAUUUUGUCAAAUUAAGCUGAGAAACAUUAAUGAUGAUUUAUUCACUUGUGAGUGAAUAAUUCGACCUCAUUAAAUCCGAAUUCGUAUGAACUUCAAUUUAACUCCAUAGCUAGAGAUGGAUAUAACCUAUGCAUAGUGCGUGUCAAAGGAAAAGAAUGACAACAUUGAAAGUGAAACAAAGGUAAAUCAUUGAUUGACUGAUUCGAUCCACAAAAAAUCAUUCUUAUACAGGUAAAGAAAAUGAUUAAAAUAUAUUUUAUCUAUAAUAUGAAAAUUGAACAGACCUAGAAAAAUCCAGUUGCACGAGUAUGCGUUCUAUUUAUAUAUGUUUUCAUUUAUAUCGAUUAUAUGACCAUCGGAUGUGUUUAGAGGUCAACUCGAUAGUUAUUAGAUGGCAUCUAGACUAAAAUACAAAAGAAACGAAGCUACAUAUUAUCGAACCCAUACCCUGUAAAUUGUUUAUUUUAGACCUCUUUUAAUUUGAUCAUAAAUGUUUUACAUUGUUAUAAAACAAAUAUGAGAAGGUGAACAUAAAGUUGACAGCUAGUGCCCCUUUAAGGAAAGCAAACUUUUAACUGUCGAAUAAAUAGCAUACUUCGGCGAAAAACAAUCUAUUUUUUUGGCGAGAAGUCAAAAACAAUUUUUUUCUUUCAAUUUUAGCAUUACAUAUAGUGGCAGCUGAGGGUGAAACAAACAAUUUUUAUGCAGUUAAUCUGCAUUAUGCGAGCACCCUAGAUUUGUGGUCUACCCAAAAAAUGCUGAAAUACUUGCCAUUGUUAUUAUCUAGCUGGCUACUAUGUUAUAUAUAACUAAUUGAACACUUUUUUAAUACUUUUUAUUCUAGAAUAUAAAAAAUAUUACCAUAAAAACGUUAAAUGGUCGUCGAUUUUCCCAAAAGUUUUGAAGUUGCACAUAGGAAGUAGUGCUCAUUAGGAAUUCUUAUGUAGUUUAUUAUCGCCUGUGCUUUUGGCUAAGAUGUCAAAAAACAAUUGUACGAAAUAUUUAAUCGCCGAAAAUCUUUCAGACAAGUAGUUAAGAUUUCCCAAAUGGCAAAAGUCGUAGGAAUAUUGUUUGUCGUCAAUACGUAGUACAACUACGUCAGUAGUCUAUUAUAUAAUAAGUUCAACUGUUCAUGCUGUUGGCGGCAAUUUCAAAUUAGAAGACGAAAUUCGUAUCUUUUCAAUUUGGAGGCAGGGGUUCAAAUUAGCGGUGGUCCGAGGUCCGCGACCUUCCACUUUCGAAUUGGUUACUAGCCACGCCCGACGGGCCUUCCACUCUGAGACAACUAUAUCACAGCUAGAGUAGUCUCAGUUCCACUUGAAAGAAAAUAAAAAAUAGCUUUGCAAACCUUUUCGCCAAAGUCUCCAAAUCAACGAUCUCAAAACUUAUUUUAAUCAUUAUUAUUCAUGACAGCGAUGUCAAUUUUGUUCAAUCGCUAGCUAUAUACAGAAAAUCGCCGACAAAAAAUGUGUUAAUACGAGUAAAAUCGUAUCUGACUGACAAAAACAACAUUGGAACACAAUGACAAUGGCUGCCGUGAAAAGACAAUUACAAUUUCGGAUCCGAUUCCGGAAGCGGAUAAGGGUAAUUCCGGGUUUUCGGCGAAUCCAGGCAGGUGACAAAAUACAUCUAUGCAUGGUAAAUGAAUAAUAUAAACACUAGAAUUAAAAACCAAAAGAUAUAUGUAAAAGAAAGAAAAAGCAGAAAAUAUUUUAAACAGAAACUCAAAAUUACUUUUGACAAAUUUUAAUGUCAAAAUCCAAUACAAUGUGACAGCUGGGAACAGUAUAUCUAACAAUAUAUAUGUUCCUGGUCACAGUUUAAAUUUUCUUUAUCAGUGAUAAAUGUUGAUAAUGCAUGUAAGAUGCUUUUAAAGUGUAAACAUAUUACUGCAAUUUUGAAGGGGUAUUUUUUUUUCUCAAUUUUGAAGGAUCAGUUAUAAAAGUAGCUGGAAGAUUCUUACUUUAUUUUCACAAAUAACUACCUGAAUGUAGGCAAAUCAUAUGAUAUAUAGGUGGCGUCCUUUGGGCCACUCUACCCCCUCCUGUUUGAUAACUUUGAAACGGAUGACCUCUCAACCAUAUACAUUCAUGUAUGGGACUAUAUAUAUAACUAAUCAAAUGAAAUAUAAGGGGAGUCCAUGGGGUGACCCACCCCCUCCUGUUUGGGAACUUACGAAACGGUCGAGAUCCCCACCCCUAAACAAUAUAUAUUCAUGUAUGGGUCAAUAUAACUAAUUAAAUGAAAUAUAGGGGGAGUCCCCCUACCCCCUCCUGUUUGAGAACUUGGAAACCGAUGAGAUCCCCACCCCUAAACCAUAUAUAUUCAUGUAUGGGACAAUAUAACAAAUCAAAUGAAAUAUAGGGGAAGUCCCUGGGGUCAUCCUAUCCCUUCCUGUUUGAGAACUUGAAAACCCUCGAGAUCCCCACCCCUAAACCAUAUAUAUUCAUGUAUGGAACAAUAUAACAAAUCAAAUGAAAUAUAGGGGAAGUCCCUGGGGUCACCCUACCCCUUCCUGUUUGAGAACUUGAAAACCCUCGAGAUCCCCACCCCUAAACCAUAUAUAUUAUAUUCAUGUAUGGGACAAUAUAACAAAUCAUUUACAUUUUACUAUGGGCAGGUCAGUCAGACCUCACCUUUGAUCCUUGUAGUAGUGAACAUUUGUCUGAUUUGUGUCGCAUAACUAUUGUACUAUAGAACACAUACUCAGUUUUCUUUACAGGGAAACCAGUCCAUUCAUACUAUUACAUGUUCGUACUAAGUCAACACGUACUACUAACAGUCAACUAAAACCAACGUUAACUACCAACUAGAACAACUACAAUCAUUGCGAACUUGUACCACUGCAGACUCACCAUAAAAAAAUAUACAUUUAUAUAUAUUCAUUGCUAUUGAAACCUUGAUAACAUAUAAAUUAUUUGCCUUAAUAAUUAAUUCAUUAGAUAAACAUAAAUGUACAAUAUAUGAAUGUUUAAUGCCACAUCAGAGGCGGAUUUAGAGGGUUUUUCAGUGCCCCCCCCCCCCCUUUCCAUUUUUGAGAAAAAAAAAUAUGGUUGAUUAUAUAGGGAAUCACUGAAGCAUGACUGGAGCAGGUCCCCUGUUAGGCAGGCAGUGGGCCCCCACUUAUGAAAAUUUCUGGAUCCGCCACUGCACAUAAUUACGUUUGCCUGGUUUUUGGUUAACUGCCUUCAGCGCUUACAGCGCUUGAUUUUUUCUCAGGAUCAGAAACAAAUUUUUUUUCUUCCAAAUCUGGAAACAAACUUUUUUUCCAAAAAAAAAAUCCAUACCAUAGAAAAGGGACUAUGAAAAGAGGAACUCGACUUGUUGUCAUUUGAAAGUCGAUUUCUACAAUCAAACGAAACAAAUGCUGUCAACAUGAAAAUAAGCAUCUUGAUAUCGGCUUAAGAUAAAAUAGAAUAUUUUAGUCCUAGGGGUUAAAUUAGUUGUGAGGCAACUGUAAUACAUUCCAUGAUCUACGUUCGAAGCCAAAUUUAAAAAAGUACGUUUGAAGAGAUAAAAGGACUACACGGAACAGCCACAAACCGAGAGAGUCGCAACCUGAUACGUGACAUAAUCUCAACAAUACCAUAGUACUUUCUUAUUGGUAAUGCUAUCCUUGGAGGAGUCAUAUGCAGUACUGUAUCAAGAAGUGUCUAAUUUUAUUCAUAUGCAAAACGUUACAAAUUAUUGUACCUGUUCGAAGCUAAUGUAAUUUGUGUUGUGUUGCCUUUCAUAUGAGACGAGUCAUGGGGAUGCUUACCUAGCGGCGACGACGAAGUUAACUAUUUUUUUAAGCAUAAUGAAUCAAAAGGUACCCGAGUGUUAAAUUAUUAACAAUUACAAUAUAUUGUUCCCGAUACCAAAAAUUGAGGAUGAGUGUCUCAUUUUGAAGGAUAAAUCGUACCUCGUAAACAUCACUAUGAUUCAAACAAAAAUUAUCGCUUAGACUGACAUUUAUAUCAAGCAGUGAUAUCAAGAUGCUCAAUUUCUGCCUUAAUUGACGGCAUCUCUUUUACGUUUGGAGGACAUAUUUUUUAAUAAACAUUCAGGAUUCUAGUUGGAAUUCAAACUUCUCUCCUCUUGUCGACUUCAAGCAGGAGAAUUUUGUUGAAAGAAAAGAAGUUUAUAUUAUCCGCUGUAUAGUCUCUCACUAAAUAAUUCAAACGUUUAUCGCUGUUACACGCAUCUAUCCCAUCGAAUUCGAAAUAAAAAAAUACAACAGAUAUAGUAAAGUUUGCCUCACAUUUUUACUUGCGUCUUGGCAGUCGGUUAAAAACAAAACUCUACUACAAUGAAAAGGAUUUCAGCUUCCAAAUUGUGAUUUUUCCAUUUUGAUGUAGCAACAUUCCAACAGCGACUGCAUACUCCGUCAAGAUUCUACCUCGUCAAAAUUAUCUCCUCAUUACGCCAGCUCAUUUUUACAGUCGUAGAAAUUAAGGCCAUUGUAGGGAUGACGCGCUGUCAAUUUAGCUCUUGAAAACCGAUAAAUUUAUCCACAUAGCACCAUUACGAUCCUUAUAUGUUAGUUGUAUUUUAAAAGAGAAAUAUCUACUACUAGCUAAUGAGCAUCAGUUAAUGUUUUUGUCUGUAUUGAGUCAACUUAAAACUAUUGUCUGAUCGGUUGUCAGGUAGAAUUUUCGAAAAUUCAUAAACAUUAAAAAAAAAAAUCUAAUUAGAUAAUUCGUGGAAGGCAGACUAAAAAUUGUCAGUGGUUGAUGACUAUAAACACUGGUUAUCACACACAAAAAAUAAUGACCUUUUUUUCGAAGAUAUGCAUUUUUAAGAUCCAACUUAAAAAAAACUGUUGUCAAGUACUUUAAGUCAAUAUUAGCUACUAGUAUUCGAACACACCUUCUCUGUUAUUGUGAUUUAUUAGAAAGCUAUUUCACUUGACCCAUAUAUUUCAUCUUUAAGUACUGUGAAUUUUUGAUGUUAUAAAGUCAACCUGGAGCCUUGAUAUAUAAAACUGACAGAAUCUGAAACAAGAUGAUGUAUCAAAUACUCUUGCUUUUUACGUUUUCAAUUAAGAAUUGAAUGCUUCUUUUUGUAACUUCAUUGGAGUGUUAAAGCGUUGACCAAAGUAUAGUUUGUAGGAAGUGCUAAACGCUGAAGCGCUUCAUUCUCAAAGUGUGCGCAUGGUCAACGCUUUUACAACCCUAUGAAGUUUUAAAAAGAAGCAUUCAAUACUUAUAAUUUCAUAUUUUAGCUUUGAUCAUGAAAACACGAGUUUUAUAUUUUUUUAUUUAAUUCACAUGUGCACUUUAUUGUGGGACCACGUGUUAUCAUGAAUGAUUAGUUUUAUUGAGUAAUGCAAUUGCUUAAUAACACGUGAUGUGCAGCUAGCCAAUCAGAAUAAAGUAUUAUAAUGAAACAUGCAUCUAAUGUAAUUAUGACAAAAUAUUCAACCCAAACACGCCUUAGCAUAAAAAGGUGCACUCGAUUUUCUCUUUUCGAUACAAUUGUUACCCAUUUUUUGAAUUUUUUUCUUAAAUCACAUAUGGGAAGGGCAGACACGAAAAUUAGUGAACUAAUAGUUUGUUAUGUUCUCCGUCCGUGGUAAUUUUUGUUAUUAAAAUCGGAGGUUAUGCAUUUUCUACAUCCAACUUGAUAGAUACCAAUGUCGUCGACUUCAUAAUAGAUAAAUUGAAAACUUAUGCAAUUGGUGUUUUAAAAAAAAAAUUGUCGUAAUUGAGUAGAAAAUUGUCAUUUUAUUCGUUUCUAUUAACUUUUUAAAAAAUUGUUUCUAUAUUCAUUACAGCCAAGGCCGUAACUACAUUGGGGCAAAUGAGGCAAAUGCCUCAUGUUGGAAUUUAAAAAAAAAAAAAAAACUAGGAAACAAAAUCAUUGUUUCAUAUCAAAUUAUUCAUGAAAGUCUCUGCAAGAGCACGUUUCUUUACUAUCUGUUGUGCCUGCAUCUUUUCGUGAUCCAUGUCUCUAUUUACUUUAGUUUUCAGAGUAGAUGUCUAUUGCUUGACUUCUGUGUCCCGGUUUUCUUUUUUGUAUUCUGUGGUCGGGUGUCUUUGCUUCAUUGAUUGUCCCUACUUUAUGACUAUAGUCUGAUGUUGAUUUUAUUUGUAACGUUGGUUUUGCAAUGUUGCAUUCCACCGAUGUCCAACAUUGUGUGAGAAAAUAUUUUAGAAUAUACGAUGCGAUUCUGGAACGCAAAACAAUUGUCGUUUCUGCAUGGAGAAUUGAACUUGAUAUCAAAGAAAACUGGCUCUUUUUUGUAGAAAAAACUAGAUCGCUGACAUGGUUUAAAUUAAAGUAAGACCUCUAAUUUUCCUAUAAUCAUUAUAUAAAACAUAAUGAUUGCAAAUAUCCUUUUAUAUUGAAGGGUUAAACUUGCAUUAAGUUCAACCCUUUACAAGAAAAUAAAGGAAUAUGGGUAAACGUGCACGGAACUAAUCUCAACCAAAGGCAAUGAUAGAAACAAACAAUACAAUGGUCAAAGAUUUAUUCUUGUUCUUCAUCUGAUAGUUCUGAGGUUUCAACAUAAAAGAAUCAUUAAUACGUAAAACAGGUCAAGAUAGUCUUAGUGAGCUUUCAGUACUAGUAUAAGUAAUCUCCACUGUCACAUAUUCAAUUAGUAAAGAAACUAAUAAACCAGUCUAAGACAACACAAGACAACAAAGAUCGUCAGACAGAUCCGGUUUAAUGAUAUGAGAUUUACGAUUUUUGCUUUAUCUAAUAUCGGUCUACUUUUAAUGUUGUCCUGUGAAACUAAAAGUCUUAAAUUACAAUUAUUAAUCGAUGUUUAGCUUUGAGACAGAAUAUGUCGAAAGAUAGUAAAUUAUUGCGUGUCAAUAUAAAGAAAAGUCCGGAAACGCUCAAGAUGCACGAUUUUGCGUUAUUUUUUCAGAGCUUCAGACCCCUCGCCAAAAAAAAUUUCCUCGCUACGCUGGCAAAUAUAUUUUUCCUCAUUAUUGAAAGAGGCUAAUUACGGCCCUGACAGCAAACAUUUAUCGCCUUCUCUAACAAAAGACCUUCGAUUAUUUUGUUCUAUUUCAACCGGGUUUCCGCCUGCAUACUGGAUAUAUAUAUCCAAGUUGAGAUUCUAGUUUUUUACUUAUGCGUUUGAAUGUCCAUUUGGUAUCCUUUGCCGCUCUUUUGUGGUCCUUUAUUGAUUUUAAUCUCUUUACAGGUGCCUCAUAAUCUAAAGUUACCGUCGGGCUGAUUAUUUUCAUAGGAACUUUUUGAGCUGAUGCAUGUACUAAACUAUGCCCUUUCUACACUAUAUUUUACAAUUAUUACGGAUCCAUAACAAAAUCGACAAGAAAUAUUUCUUCAGCCAAAACCUCCCUGUUAACGAACGUGCCCUUAGUAAGAGAUAAGUGAGAUGACAAAUGAAAUACAGCGAUGAUUUCGUCGUAUUGUUCGUGCUUUAGAAUUGUCAAACCAGUGUAUUUGAUAUUUUCAUUUUAGAAUCUGGUCAUUCAUCUGGGUAGUGGAAGGGAGGUUCCGGCUGUGUCUGUGUGUUAACUUGUGAACUGUCCAACCUUUUAUCUUCAAAUGUAAAUAUGUUCACAAGCUUGAUUUUGAAGUUUUCAUUUUUGCCGUUCAUGAGUUCAUUGUUUAGUAAUUGAACAAAAAAGACCAAAUUGUGUUCCUUGUAAUAACUUGAACACCGUUUAAACAAUGCUUUUCAAAUUCUAAAAUCAAAAAUAAAAAUUCGAUAUUUACGAUUUUAACUUUCGUCGUUCAAGAGUUAUGAUCCAUGAUAAAUUGGAAGUUGUCACUUUAGGCUAAAUCGAUACUAUAAAUUGAUAACAUUCCAACCAGUUCUUUCCAAAUUGUAGAAGGUUGUUGCUGAUUACAAAAUCGAGGUUGCACAAGUUUGAUAUUGACAACUUUCAACAAUUAAAGUGUUUAACAAUUACUCUAGCUGUCAUCGACAUUUUCACCGCGUCUUGGGAAGUUUUGAAUGGUGACUAUGUUUGGUAACAUCAUUCCUGUUAAGGUUCUGUAGCCAUUUUUGUACGGAUUUUUCAAACUUCAAUUGUAUCAAAACUACAGAUAUAAUGAAUAAUAGAGAUAGGCCAUUUUGUACAUAUAACAAGGGGAAACUUGAUGCAAAUCAUUAUUAUUUACUCAUUGUAUUUAGAGACAUCAAAAGUUCAAUGUAGGAUAAAAAACUUAAUUUACAUAGUUUUUUUCGCUGAUACGUCUACUUCUAAACAAGACAAACAACUAAAAAGAAAAAGAGUCCAGCGAAUAUAGAACAAGAAAAAUUAUUCCACGUUCAUGGCAAAAUUUCUUCAACCCAUUUGCUCUUUUUGCAUCUGUUGUCUUAGCUAAAACCUAAAAGUCUUAAAUUAUAAUGAAUCUGUUUUUUGCAUUGAGACCAGAAUAUUGUCGAAAAAAUAGCUAAAGAUUAUUUGCGUUUCAAUGUAAGAAAGAGUCUGUGGAACGCUCAGAAUGCACGAUUUUGCGUUAUUUUACUUAAAGCUUCUGGGGGCCUUGAGCUGCCCCCAGACACUUCGCCAAAAUUUUUUCGCCUCGCUACGCUUGGCGAAUAUAUUUUGCCUCAUUAUUAAAAGAGGCUAGUUACGGCCCUGGUACUAGUAUAAUGAUAAUACUACACUGUCGCUAUAUUCAAAUCUAGUAAAGAAAAUAAUAAAAACAGUCUUAAGCACAACACAAGACAACAACAGAUCGUCAGACAGAUCCGGUUUUAAUGAUUAUGAGAUUUACAAUUUUUGCUUUAUCCUACAUAUCGGUCUACUUUUAAUGUUGUCCCUGUGAAACCUAAAAGUCUUAAAUUACAAUUAAUCUAUGUUUUAGCUUUGAGACCAGAAUAUUGUCGAAAAAAUAGCUAAAAAUUAAUUGCGUUUCAAUAUAAAGAAAAGUCCGGGAAACGCUCAGAAUGCACGAUUUUGCGUUAUUUUUCUCAGAGCUUCAGACCCCUCGCCAAAAAAAAUCUCGCCUCGCUACGCUCGGCAAAUAUAUUUUGCCUCACUAUUGAAAGAGGCUAGUUACGGCCCUGAAUGCAGUUGUAAGUUUUUAAAUGAAAUUUUGUGGAAAUUGUGAUUAGGAACAUCAAUAAUAAAUCUAGUUUUUAUGCCCCACCUACGAUAGUAGAGGGGCAUUAUGUUUUCUGGUCUGUGCGUCCGUUCGUUCGUCCGUCCGUCUGUUCGUUCGUUCGUUCGUCCGUCUGUCCCGCUUCAGGUUAAAGUUUUUGGUCAAGGUAGUUUUUGAUGAAGUUGAAGUCCAAUCAACUUGAAACUUAGUACACAUGUUCCUUAUGAUAUGAUCUUUCUAAUUUUAAAGCCAAAUUAAACUUUUGACCCCAUAUCCAGAAAUCAACGCCACUUUGCUUAUUUGAAUAUUAUACUAAAGAAAUCGGAUACGGGUCACGGAAAUUACAUUAAAAUGAUAGGGAAUUUUGAAAAAAUGUCUGUUUUAAUUUUAAUUUAAGUGAUAGACAGGUUGCCGGGGCAGAAAAUGAAUUUACACAACAAUAUACACCAUUUAAACGAAACAUAAUGACUGUUGUUGCAAAAAUACAGGUUCCUGAGCUAUUUUAAAAAUCGAAGCGAGAGGCUUUUAAUAUUGCAGUGUAAAAUACAGGCUAAAAUGGCUGAAACGUCAAAUUUGCAGACUUCGUGUUGAAAAUUGGCUACUAAGGUCAUUACAUAAACAGGUUGCCGGGGUGAAAUUUGAAACUUGAAUUUCCAAAGAAUAAGCAAGUCCAAACCUUGUAUGCGUAGUCAUUGAACUCUAGGUUCCCACGUAAAGUUAAAAUGUCACUAUUUCAAGAAGAAUAAACUCACGAAAGCACGAAAAAUUCACUAAAUUCGCGUUCAUUGUUUUGAUUUUGACCGCCUGACAACUUUACGGCAAUCGUAACUACUCGGCCAUUCUCGCUACGCAGUACAAUAGCCUCGUAUGCACUACGGAGAAAUUCUUCUUAAAUUGUUGGCCGGAAUUGUAGUGAUCCGCGACACAAAGAAGUUCUAUCCUCCAGGUGGCGCUAUAAUUUGGUUACAUAUCACAGUAAUCAAGAACUUUAACUCUGCCAAAUAUUUUGGCGCGAAAGAAGGAGCAAAGUAAAUAAGUAAUGGUAAAAAAUUUGUACCAUUCCAGUCGAAAAAAUAUAAAAUUCAAUCGGAUCGGAAAAUUUUCCGGACAGGAGCAAGUUAAAUCAGUAGUGGUAAAAAAAAUGUACCAGUCCAGUCGAAAAAAUAUAAUUUUGAAUCGAAUCGGAAAAUUUUCCGGACAAUGAUUCCUCCGCCUAAUGCAUACGAGGUUAUUUCUUCGUGCAACCAGAAAGGCCGAGUUGUUCCGAUUGAACUUUACGGAAAUAUCAAAGUGAUUGUAAAUAAGGACUCUGUGACGGGCAACUUAUAAUAUCCGUGUUUUAAAGAUUUUAAUGAUUUUAAUGAUAUCAAGCCAGUCCAGUUCAAACUACUAUCACGUGGUACAAUUCUCAUUUACAUAUUAUGAAUAUUAAUUAGCAAAACCACUACUAAUUUCUGGCUAUGCCAAUUUCACGGUCCACUGAACAUAGAAAAUGAAAGUGCAUGUUUCAGGUUAAAGUUUUUGGUCAAGGUAGUUUUUGAUGAAGUUGAAGUCCAAUCAACUUGAAACUUAGUACAAAUGUUCCCUAUGAUAUUAUCUUUCUAAUUUUAAUGCCUAAUUAUAUUUUUUUAUCCAAUUUCACGGUCCAUUGAACAUGGAAAAUGAUAGUGGGAGUGGGGCAUCCGUGUACUUUGGACACAUUCUUGUUUACUUAUGCGUUUGAAUGUCCAUUUGGUAUCCUUUGCCGCUCUUUUGUGUUCCUUUAUUGAUUUUAAUCUCUUUACAGGUGCCUCAUAAUCUAAAGUUACUGUCGGGCUGAUUAUUUUCAUAGGAACUUUUUGAGCUGAUGCAUGUACUAAACUAUGCCCUUUCUACACUAUAUUUUACAAUUAUUACGGAUCCAUAACAAAAUCAACAAGAAAUAUUUCUUCAGCCAAAACCUCCCUGUUAUCGAACAUGCCCUUAGUAAGAGAUAAGUGAGAUGCCAAAUUUUGUGUUUUUUAAUAAUAACACUAUAUGAAUCUGCGGGGGCAUCAUUUGUGUCUCCCAGACAUUAUAGUAUGACCACCAUCUCAAAGGAAGUCCUACAUUGACAUCGACACUCUGAAAAAGGCAGUUGCUAUUCUUCCGGAUAAAUAGAAUAAAGACACUUUAGUCUAAGCAUCUUUUUGUGCUCAUUUUCUAUUUUCUACAUAACUAUUUAAUAGGUGCUUUCCUUCUUCUCUUAUAACAAGUGUGGACAAUUACAGUAUAAUAUAUGUUUUCUCAUGCAAACAGCACAAGUUUCAUCAUGUAAAAGAAAGACAUUGACAUUUGUUUAUCAUCUCGGGAGUCCUUAUUGUAUAUAUAUCUAUAGACUUUUGUUGGUCAUCUCAACGAGUUUGAUUUUCUUGCUUGAGCUGGUACAGCGGAAGCAAGAAAAACAAUAGAGCAAUGAUUAAAUCGCUAUUUUGCCUAUGAUAACGUUGACAUUUACAUUGACAACGGCACGUGUGCCAUUAGUUUCUCUCGAUAGUUUUUCAUAUCACCAUAUUUUUUAAAUAUCAGCCAGUAAGAUCAAAGGAAAAUUUCGAAAAAUAGCGAUAAUUAUUAUCGUAAAAGCUAAGUUUAAGCCUUAUAAAUCAUUUUUACGUCAUAACUAAUUUUUAAAGAACAAUUCAAAACCGCAUGCUUAUUUAAUAAUCUGAUACUUGUUCCCUUUAACUUAGGGUCGGUCUGUAGGUUCAUAAUGAAAAAUUAAAUCUUAUUAAAAAAUUACGAAGAAGAAACAAUAAUGAUUUUAUCUAAGUUGAUAAAUAUUGGAUUAAAAAAGUAAUGGUGAUCAGAUUUCCAGAAAAAUCUUGAAUAAAGAGUUAUUAAGUAAGUCUACAAAACAGUUGUUCGAAUAUCACUGUCAUUGAUUUUAUAUUAUAUUUUAUCUAAACUGCGACUGAAUCCUUGUUAAAGGUGUCCUUCUCUUCUUAAUAGUGUCGAAAAUGUCUUUGAUUUUAGGAUACAAAAGAAAAUGACGUCAUAGAUGGAAACAGAAGAAAAUGGCGUGUUAGGUGGACGCAAGACGAAACUAGGAACUAAACACUGACUUCGAAAGCUGCUUAGAUAUAAUAUCUUAUGUAUAUCUAGCAGAAACCCGACUCUUGGAUACAGACAAUUGUUUUAUAUCUUGAUUUAUGUCUAGUCGUCUUUGUACAUUAUUGUGGUAUGAAUUGCUUCAUAUUGUGGAAAUCAUCAGGACAAAAUUAUAAUUAUGUAAAUACAUUUUAAUGGUAGGCAUUAAUCACGAGAACACUUCAUUUUACAUAAACAUUGUUUAGAAUUCUACAUUGUAUAUAAGUCAUUGUUUUUACCUUUGAGUGUUCUGUGGAACAGUAAUAGGAAAACCAAAGGUUACUUGCAUGGUGUGUACCAUGUGUAUUCUUUAUACUGGCAGAUCGCUUUAUUUCAGUUUAAGAUAGAAUUUUCUGAAGAAUAUCACUAUGUACGGAACUACAAUAUAUAAUAUGAAAUUCAAAAUUAUAAAUGGUGCCUAUCAUUAAUUAAAUAUUCUUAUUCUGAAAUAAUUUAUGGGAAGAAUUUUCAUGAAUUUUAGGAAGAUUUAUAUAUAUAAUAGUAUUCAUACCGAAGUACGAUUUAAAUUUGAAAAUGCUAAUUCCACAUUAUUGUUCUCGCUUGAAGAACCAUCAGAAAAUUAAUGACAACUGGGAACACUUCAAAGAAAGGGAAAAUAAACAUAGCAAUAUUUUUUGUAUAACGACAUUUAUUUGAAGUUAAACGUUAAUAUGGUAUUCAUUAAGAGAAUUCGUGACAACAUGCAUAGAAGCAUCACUACAUCGGACUUUUUUUUUUAUCUUUUUGAUACCAGUAGAUUACUUUUGUUGUAAUAUUUCUUUUCAUUGAUAUCAUCUUUGUUAAUUGUAAGUAAACAUGUGGACAGACAAAAAUACAAAAUACAAUCGUUUGAUGUUGUUGUUUUCGCUGAUACAAGACCCAGCAUCAUUUUUCAUUUAAUUUGAUUAAAUUGUAAAAAAUAUGUUCUGAUGUUGUAAAAAUUGACCCCAAGUAAUUACAACAAUACACAAAUAACACCAAGUUGGAAUAAAAAAAAAUAUUGCACCAACCAAAAAGAAGAAACUUAAAAUGAUCAAUGAUCAAAGAAAAAAGGGAAUGGCUGUACACAAAAUAGUACAUACACAACUAAAAUACAAGCAAUUAUAACCAGCGACGUUCGUUGAACCUGGUGCGUAUGUGUUGCCUGUUCCACCAAUGACUCGUCAUGUAUCGGAAAUAGACGAUCUGUGACAAUAAACAAAUCCGAUGGUAUUCCUCAACGGUCAAUAAUUCAUGAUUGACGCCGAAAGGUUGUAAGUGAUGAACAUUUUAUUAGUAGAAAUCUUAGAUGACAUAACUGACACGGAAAUAGAACAUUUGGAUCUACAAAAUUCUUGUGCAAAAAAAACUUGGGGAUUUCAUAUCAUUUUUUUUAAUGGAGCGGAAAGAUACCAAGGGAAUGAUUUAAAAAUCAGACGUAGAAGAGAAACUGGCAACACUAUGGUAAACUAAAAGUUCAAAAGAAUAAAAUAGAAAACCUAUGGUUGAGCAAGACGAACUCUACCAAAAGACAUUGAGAAUGAAUAUUGGAAAUAUAUCAAAGAGACAACAACCCAACCAAAGAGCAGAUAACAGCUGAAGGCCACCAAUCAGUUGGCCCCUAAAUAAAAAGUGUUCUACGUCAGUGAAAAUGGAGCGUCAUAUGUAUCUUCAAAACAGAUAAAUUAACUAAGAUUAAAAAACAUGCAAGACUAACAAAUGCCAGAGGCUUCUGAAUUGGGACAGGCGUAAAAAUGCGGCCGGGUUUAUGUUUUGUCAGAUCUCAACCCUCUCCUUAUACCUCUAGCCUCUAGCCAAUGUAGAAUAACAAAAAAAAACACAGCAAUACGCACAUGAAAAGAAGUCCGAGUCUGAUGUCAGAAUAGGUAAAAGAAACUAAGCAAAAUGACAAUGAUACAUUAAUUAACAAGGAACUACUAUUAGGUACUGACAUGCCAUCUCCAGACCUCAAUUAAACUGAUUGAAAGAUUAUGAAAAUCAAGCACAAUCCCUCCCGUUAUGGGUCUAGUAUCAUACCAUCAUAAAAUAUAUGAGAACAUAGAACACGUAUCAUGCCAACACUUGGUUUAAGAAUGAAUGUUAAUUUCCUUCACAAAGACCCUGAGUGAAAAAAUAUAAAUACAAAAAUAUGCCAUUCUUAAUGUCUUGGCAACAGUAUCAUAUCUAUAUACCUUCUAAAUAAGUCUCUUUAAAGGUUUGGUAUGCGAUUAAGUUCUCCGAAAGGAUGAGCAGGGCCCGAGUAGUGCCACUCGUCAUUUUGCACAUUAUAAGUUCACACUCGGGGAUGUUACAAUUGAAUAGAGGAUUACAGCAAUUGGGAGAUAACCGUGGUCAUAUGAGAUAUUCUACCAACUCGUGAUGGUGCUCCGUAAUACUUUAAAAUGGAUGGCUUCAACUUUUCCUCUUGGAACUUUUUUUCAAAACUUGUUCCUUGUAAGAAACAACCCUCUAUCGUAAAAAUCAGGAAAGGAAACACAAGCUCUGAAUGUCAUAUGUACAACAUAUUCAAAUACUGCUGAAAGGUGGCUACAAAGAAAUAAAAAGUGCACACAAUGGGGAAGCUGAAACCGUCCCUUUUGUCUCAAUGGAUCCUCAUUAUAAAUUCUUAGAUGCAAGUCAAAUAUUGCUAUAUAUUGCAAUAGAAGUAGUUAACGAACAAACUCAAUUUUGUAAUUUAGGAACUUCCUUAUACACUGACGAUUAGUAUUUCCUACUAUUCAUUAUCCACUUGGUUUAUAUGGAAUCUUUGUUCAGUAGUAUGCGUUACGAACAAUACAAUGAAUAAAAAUAACAUCUGAUGGUCCACCUCAUUAGAAAUGUACAUGAAUAGUUUCUGUGGCACAGUUAUCAUGUAUCUGGUGAAGAUGUAAUGAAGACCGAUAAGAUUUUGACAGGGAUAGAAAAACUACUGAGCAUUUCACUCUCUGAACAUUGAAAAAUUAAAGGAUAUCUUGACUGUUCAUGUGUAGGAUUUAAUAAUGUCACCAAUGAAAAAAUGUCCACUGUACACAUUUUCAUAGUAAAUUAUGUCCGUGGACAAUUUGUACUUAUUUAAAUAUGUCCUGGACACAAUUUCCUAUGAAAAUAUGUCCUCAGAUAUGAAAAAGUGUCCAUUAACAUGGACAUAAUAUUCACUACCAUAAUUUGUACAGGUGGACAUUUUCUCACAGGACAUUGUGUCCACCAAGGGAUUUUUUGAUAUGAUUAAAGUAUUAAAUGCUAUCACUUGCCCUUUUUAUUACAGUAUAAAUACUGGAGGCAUUUUAACAUUAAUUGCGGACUUUGAUUCGUUAUUACUUUAACAUAGAGUUGUCUCAUUGGCAGUCAUACCAUCCUUAUCUUCAUAUUUAUAUCUUAAUAUAAUUAUAUACAUGUAUAAUUCAAACUCUAAAAAAAUAACAGCUGCUGUUCAGUAUUAUUUUCCUUGGAGAAUCCAAUUUAAUAACAUUUACUACGAAAAUGUGUUCUGUAGAUGGACCAUAUGUCAUAACAGUUGCUGUAAAAUGCUGUCCACUUAGGAGACAAUAUUUCAUAGCAAUGAACAUUAUUUAUUUUCUAUUGCUUUCUUCUCUGCCAAAUAAAUAUAGUAAAGUUCUUCAUAUUUGAUUGUACACUUCCUUCUUAUUGUUAUUCUUUCAUUGUCAUAGCCAUUUGCUGGAAAUUUCUUAGAACUUAAAUUCCUCUAUAUUCACUUCCAUCCUUUAUUUGUCUGUUUACAUUUGUACAUGUACAUAUUAAUCCAUUUCUCAUCAAUCCUUCAUAUUUUAAUUAAAAUCAAAGUACAAUAAAACUUUUUAAUGACCUUUGUAUUACUUCCCUUGGAGGACACAAUUUAAUAGCAACUUAUGAAAAUUUGUCCUGUGGGUGGACACUAUUUCAUAUCUAUUGCAGUAAAAAUCUGUCUAUUUGAGGGACACUAUUCCAUUGGAAUGGACAUUAUUAAAUACCUGAAUUCUAUGAAUAACUGUCCACAUGGACACUUUUUCAUAGGACACUAUUAUGUCUCACACAUGCACAUGUGUUUAUUGUAUAAAGCUAAAAGCCUAAAAAGAAAUUCAGAAAUCAAAAUAUGGACCAACAUUGGAAAAAAUGUCUGCUCAUGUCGACAUAAAUCGUCAUAAAGAUGUGUAUACACCAUACUUUCUACAAGUGUACUGAAUAUGUACACACGUAUACCGUCGUUAUGUAUGUAUACAAGGUAUAAAAGGUAGUCAGUCACCAAUACUAGAUUUGAGGACUGAGUGAGCUCAUGUCACCAGGUAUUUAUUUUGACCAACUUAUAGUUUUAGGCAAACAUAUUAAAGAUGUUCGCUGCUCAAGUUUUUGAGAAGAUUGUUAUAAAUUGAUAGUAUAUAAAUAAAGGAACUUAAUAAGCAGAAAAAAAUGAAGGGGGAGUAAGCUUGUUUUCGAAAUAUAAGCCAUUUAAAAUUUGGCGGAAAACAAUUCUCUUUAGAUUUUUAAUACAUUUAAUAUUGGUACCUUUUUUCUUUCCAACACUACCAAAAAAUAACAAGGAAUUUAUAAAAUUUUCAAAUAUGACUUUUCAAACUAUAUGUAGUAAAUGAAAAGAAAAGUAGUGCAAAAUUUUUGAACGGCACUACAUGGAUAAAACCAGAGGAUUCCGAAUAUCUGGUAAAAAUUAUGAACAAGAGAAGCGAACUUCCUUACAAGACUAUGGCCUUGGCAUGUAAAUCAACAUUCUAUACUCUGCUGGCUGGCCUGCUACUCCGUAAGCUAUACAAGCAGUCAGUUCAGACAAAUGACCCGGCAACAAAUAUAACUAACACCAUUGGUUGCUACAUUCAAUAAAAUCAGUAAAUUUCUCAAACCUUAGGCAGCAACCAUUUGAUUUUCUGGAGGGGGGGGCUAUGUUUUUUUUUGGAAAAAAAAGUUUGUUUCCAGUUUUUGGAGAAAAAAAUAAUUUGUUUUUGAUUCUGAGAAAAAAAAAAUUGUUUGUUUCACCCUCAGCUGCCACUAUAUGUAAUGCUAAAAUUGAAAGAAAAAAAUUGUUUUCGACUUGUCGCGAAAAAAAUAGAUUGUUUUUUUGCCGCAGGCGAAAAAAAAAAUUUGUCCAGAAAAAAAAACCAUAGCCCCCCCCCCCCCCCCCCCCCCAGAAAAUCAAAUGGUUGCUGCCUUAGAGAUAUUGUACAACAUUUGAUAUAAAAAAUGUUUGAAAGCAUAAAAUCAAUGUAUAUCUCAAAUGGCAUAAGCCCUUUCAGACGACAUAGAGCUAAACACAGAUCCGAGAACACCUAAAUGGCCCUGUGGUACAUGUGAAACAGCAUUUACCUGGAGCAAAAAAGCUAUAUGUUUUGAUACAUGUCGCAUCUUGUACUAUGCAAACUGCCAAUGCAUGCCUUUCAUAAACUACAAAUGCUUGGACUCGUGAAACUUAUCCUUCCAUUGUAUACAAUGCGGAAUAUCAAACUUGUCAUCAUCAGUAUUCGACUUAUCAUCACAUCUACUAGUCUAAGAGUAAUUCAUAAAUACUGCAACUACCUAAGUUUAUUUCCUAAAUAUAGUAACAUAGCUAUAUUUUGUAUAAUGUCAAUUUCAUCAUGGGACACUUUCUCAACAAUCAUGCAUGGGUGCGACUUUAAACUUGGUCAUAUACACUAGGAUAUCCCAUGCAGCGAUCCUAGCAAAAUAGAUAUUAAACUUCGUGAACAAUGUUUAAACAUCAUUAACGAACAUUCAUUCGAGCAGAUUGUAAAAAAAAACAACACAAGCACACAUCAAGCAUAGUAAACUCUAGAAACUAUGCUCCCUAUCGGAAAUGCAGACCACGAGAUCGUCUAAGAAGAAUGUGCACUAUCUUUGAAACGAAAUUAGAAAAUAACCAGGAAUAAACAGCUGCGCCAUGAGCGCAUGAUACGCCCGACGUCUUGUGUUGAAUUUUAUGCAAUAAUCAUCAUAGUGUUCCGGAAAAGUUUUAAGCAAUAACCAUUUAUUGUUUGAGACAUGGCGGACAUGUAAAACCCCCCCCCCACCGUGUUUCUUUACAAAAAACUAAAUAUCACUAAAAUAAAAUUUUGAUCAAACCAAAAAGUAUACCAAUCUUAGAUUAAUAUAACAAAGAAGUGAGUAAAAUUUCAAGUAAUAAUCAUAAAUUGUUUUUGAGAUACAGCGCGACAUGUAAAAAAAAACAUCCCUUUUUUUACAAAAUACUCAAUAACUCAAAAAAAAAUUUUGAGUCAUCACCAAAAAUAUACAGAUCUUAGAUUAAUAUAACAAGAAAUGUGUAAAGUUUUAAGCAAUAAUCAUAAAUCGUUUUUUGAGAUACACGCGACAGUAAAAAAAAACCUCCCCUUCUUUCAAAUAUUCAAUAAAAAUAAUAUGAAUCAACCAAAAGUAUACAGAUAUAAGAUUAAUAUAACUGAUAAGUGUGAAAGUUUAAGCAAUAAUCAAGAAUCGUUUUGAGAUACGGUGCGACAUGUAAAAAAACACCCCCUUUUAGUUACAAAGUGCCGUAACUCAAAAAGUUUAAAUCUUAUUUUCACCAAAAAGUAUACAGAUCAUUUGAUCAUUAUAAAUAACAACUAUAUUAAGUUUCAUGAAAUUUGGAUAAGUCGUUUUCAAGUUAUGGUGCGACAUGUUUACGCCGACAGACGACAGACAGGACGGACGGACAGACGGACGACACCAGACAUUUGUAUACCACAAUCUCCCGUCAAAGUUUUGACUGGCGUAUAAAAACAAACCAGUACGAAGAAGCUUGAUGGGAAAACAUCAAUAAAGACGUUAACAAACUCACACAAGAUAGUUAAGGUCAUUACCAUAGUUCAUCUAUUAAUUACCUCUGAAAAACAUUCACUGACAGACUACUUACAUCAGUCAAGAAAAACAUUCUCCAAAAGACAAUCACGAACAGGAAACAUACUGUCCUGGGUUGAUAACAAAUUAAAAAACUAUAAUAAAUAAAGUUAAAAAGACUACAUAAAAAGCACAGGCACUCAUCUCAAAAAAAAAAUCCUAUAUACCUUUAUAUAACACAAGGUACUUAACUCGCGAUUUAGUAAAAUGUCAGGUGGUGACAAAAUUCCGUUAUAUGCCGAUUGCUCGGCUGUCAACCCCACUAAAACUUUUUAAGUCGUAAAUCUUAAUUGAUUUAUCUUGGCAAUGGUGUAUAAAUCGCCUACUUUUGUUGUCGGAAUCAUCCGUAACAGUCCUACCCAAGUAUGUCAAUCCGAAUUAUUUCGUCUACCUACACAAAAUUGGCAAUAAACGUCUCGCAGUAAAUGAUUAAUUAUAAAAACUGUUUCAGAAAAAUUGGUUAUUUUUUGUCUGAAUAGAACUUAUCCCCCAGUUAGUAAAAUUGUAUAAGAUACCUUGAAAAAAACACUCACAAGAGUUAUUUGUGGUAUGUCUAAUAAGUUACGAGUUUCCUUUUUUAGAUACAUUUUCCCAUGACGUCAAUGUCACUCAGACUCUCUCUUGGCUUUACGUAUGAAAAUGAAACAAGAUCAGACUUUCCCAUAAAAUUGACCAAUCGGAAACCGAGAUAUAUAAGGAGACGUGACGCGUUUAUUGCCAAUUCUUCAGCGGUUGGCAAAAUUAUUACAAUUGACAUACUUUGGUAGGAUAGCUUUGGAUGAUUCCGACAACAAAUGUAGGCAUGUUAUACACCAUUGUGAAGAUAAAUCAAUUAAGAUUUUCGACAUAACAAGUUUUAUUGGGGUUGACAGCCGAGAAAUCGGCAUAAAUCGGAAAAUGGUUCUUUAUGUCGUUUGCGUGUAUUACUAAUUACUUGGGAAACUGUUUAUCUAUACUUUUUUAAUUUAAAUGUGUUACUAUUGAUGACAUAAUGGAGGUCAAUUUUAUAUUGAUGAUUAUAACUUGUACCGUCCAGCAGUAGUUACGGUUUUUGAUGUAUUGAAAAAUUGCACCUUAUGAUGAGUCCGGGUGGUAACUUAUAAACUGUUGAACCAAUUCUUCUUAAAUUUGAUUAUGAUGACAGGCAAAUACACAGGAAACAAAUCCGGGUUACAUUUUAUAAGCCAGGUAGACCCUUUAACUAUACAGUCCUACAUCCAUGCCCAAGAAAGUAAAACAAUCAUAUCUUCUCUCAAUUUUAAAUGGUUAAGAAGGGCUAUAAAUCUGUCAUAUCAUACUGACUAGGCAACUGAUAAUUUUACUUUACAAACAUAUGACUUUUGUUUGAAACACAAAAUUGUUAAACUUCUAAAAUUUUAAGAAAAUGGACAGGCACAUGUGUGGUUGACAUUCCUCUUCCCUCUUUUUUUUUUGUGUGUUUAACUCUUAUUUUGGAAAUAUUCUUUGAUGUUGUGUUUAUCCUGACUUUCAAGAUUCAUUUAAAAACCAUAUUUUAAAUAUGUUUUUUAAAAUAUUCUAAUCUUACAAUUUAUUGAAAAAAUCAAAUUUUGAAAAAAAAAAUCAAAAUCACAUAUAAUGAAAAAAACGAUACAUUUCUUGAUUGGUAUUGUGUAUUUCAUUUUUAUCCCUUCUUGCAAUAAUAGGUACCUUUAAAUUAAGAAAGAAACCAUGUGGUAUCUAUGAACUAACAUAUUAUAAUUAAUGUCACAAUUUAAUUUGAAAUAUGGUGUUUUCUAAGUGAUGCAGGAGAUAGGUUCACUUUUUAUUCAAUAUUUAUUCUAGAGCUUAGAUGUAAGACUGUAUAAGAGGAAAUAACGAAACAACAGAAACACAGUGCAACAAAGGCAAACGCCAAGAGGCAUAGAAACGGGCUUUAUGGUAACAAUUGCAAUAUUCCUUGGUUCAAGACAUUUUAAGAUAAAAUGGUGGGUUGUACCUGAUGCAUGUCUAGACAAACAUCCCGCGUAUAUUGCAAUGUUAAAAAUAUCGCUUAAACAAACACAGGAAAUGAGCCAAAGAGCCAACAACCCGACAACAGACAAGUGCUACCAAUAAGUUUUCAACACAGCAAGGAAAUUAAUCUCCCAGAGGCAGUAGCUUGUCCCUUAACAAUAAUAUAUACUUGUUCAGCGAAAUGGACGCCACAAUAAAGUCCGAAAAAUAUAAAUGAUCAAAAAUUUAAAGAACACAGCUAGAGGUUCUGAUUAAGAACAGACAAAAAUGCGGCGGUGUUAAAAAUAUUUUGUGAGACCCUAUACAUCUAACCAAUGUGGAAUAAACAAACACAACGUAAUACGCAUUUAGUAAAACUCUAAGAGAAGUCCCCUAUACAUCUACCCAAUGUGGAAUAAACAAGCACAUCAUAAUACGCAUAGUAAAACUCAAAAGAAGUCCGAGUCCGAUAUAAGAAUAUGUUACAGAAGGAACGAAGCACAAUGGCAAUAAUCAACAUGAUUUAACAAAAGAUUACUCGAAGUAACUUUGGAACAAACACCAAACCUAAAUCCUGGUAUCUAAUCUUAUCUAAUACGCGCACUAAAACUCAGUUUAAUAGAAGUCGCAGUCCGAUACAGUUGCGGAUCCAGCCAUUUUUAAAAAGGGGGGGUCCCAACCCAGAGAAAAAGGGGGGGGGGUUCCAACUACUGCGAUAUUAGAAUAUGUAACAGUAUGUGUAACUUUGGAACAAACACCAAACUGUAAUCCUGGUAUCUAUGGUGAGUAUUUUACCACUGGAACGAUGGCACUGCUAGUGUAGUUCUAUUCCCGAGGAUAUCACCAGCCUACUAGUCAGCACUUCUUUGUUGGCAUGAAUUAUAAUCGAUAUGGUCAUAGAUAUAAAUUAACUGUUUACAAAACUUGAAAUUUUAAAAUACUAUUGAUUCUACAUCAGGAAUAUAUUACUAAGGUUUAAACUCCCUCAGGCAAAGUUAGCUUAAGAUGAAUUUGGCUAUUUAUUUUAGGUAUUUUUGACAUAGCUCUUCAAUGGUUUCGGAUAUUUUUACAUCUUCGGAUUUCAAAUGUUUGGCUUUGAGCGUUCCUAAUAAAGGUAAAUCCAGAAAAGCUCUUCUGUACGGAAGCCCUGGAGUGCCACGCAAACAAAAAAAUUCAACUUGUGCGCACAAGUUACAAACUUGCGCGCACAAGUUACACAACUUAUAGACAUGCGCUGUUUUGCUAAAGAGACUACUUUAUGGAACGCCGUAGCUGCCGAAUACAAACAUAUGUUUAUAUACAUGAAUCCACAUACUUUUCAAUAUAUCUAGCACACAAUAUCUGUGUUUUUUCUAGGUAUACUUUUUAAUAUUGAACAUAGUUUACUUUUUAUGCACUUACUUUAUAUAUAUAUAUAUAUAUAUAUAUAUAUAUAUAUAUAUAUAUAUAUAUAUAUAUAUAUGCACAUACUUUUCUAUAUACCUGCACUAUGUAUGCACAUAUCGCAUUUUAUUUAUCAUUUGCACAUAGUUAACCUCAUAUGCAUAUAUUUUUUUUCUAUAUAUGCACAUACUUAUUCUACAUAUGAAUGUACAAAUGUAGUUCUGCAUGUGAAUACUUUUCUCAGUAUAUAUGAACAUAGUUUUUUCAACGUGAGAAUUACAAUUCAUAUUAUGCUUUUCUGUUGUUUUUUUCAAACUGAACUAAGGGUUCCAAUAUCAUAAAAGGAAUGUUUAUUAAGAAUUUCUUAAUGAUGUAUGUUGUUCAAUUUAGCAACUGUUGGAAUCAUUUUUAUAUGAAUGCAAUUUAUUUUGUAUGGGGUUAUGGCGGCUGUUGUCUUAUCUAUAGUCACUUGGUUUUCAUGUCAAAAACGUUGAAGGAGUCGAUUUGUUUGUAUAAAUUUUAACACAAGGAUUAUUACCACUAACGGUCAAAAUUGUUCUUAUAAAACUUAAUUUUUGCCAUUUUCUUUACCAAUUUUAUGUGUUUUCAAAGUAUUCAGUAAGUCCAAGAUCUUAAAAUGUGAAUUGUUUUCUAUUAUUAUGAUGUUUAUAGAAAGGACCAAAGACGGGGAAUUAUUUUUAUGCCCUGCCGAUAGGCGUAUGGGGCAUUAUACGUGUAAUACCCUUAUCGUCCACCGUGUCCUUCCAUCUUUCCAUUUAACUCUAAAAACUGUCACCAAAGUAGUUAUACUACAGUUCCCUGCUCCCUUUAUACCCAAUUUCCAAGUUCAGGAAAUUUCAUUUCUUUUUUUUGUUUGUUUUUGCACUCUCACCUUAAUCCCAAAUGCUGAAAAUGUAGACGCAAAACAAGAAAUGCAGAGUAAAUCAGACAAAUCAUAAUCAGCACUGCAGCACGUCAUAUCAUAUUUGAUAUUCACACCUUUUUAAAGCUUUUCAAUACUUAUACAUUUUAUUUUUACGGGUCGGCGUUGGCUUCGCAAUUUAUAGUUUGUAAUGGUCUAUUUAUGUUUGAACCACAAGUGGUGGUUCAAUGAUAUGUUUUAUGCAGUUAUAUAAGUAUUGGAACAUCUCAUUUCCAUAGAUAAUAUUUGCCCUGUCCCCUGAGUAAUUGUCUAUUGACUUGAAAAUUUAUUGGCAUUUGCAAAGUCAUAUUUCUAUGGAGGUUAUAAAGCCCACCCUCAUCAUGGUUUAUUGAAUUGAAACUUUUACAUAGUUUACAAGUUUAUGUUUGUUUAAAGGGAAUGACUUAUAACCAUGGUAUUUUGUAUGUAAUUGUAUAUUGGCACAUUUUUCCAUGGAUAUUGUCAGCCAUGUACUUUCAGUCGUGGUUCAUCAACUUUGAAUAUUUCCAUAACUUACAUGUUAAAGUAUUGCUAUUUUGGUUUCAACAUUUGCAUUGUCAAAAUUACAAAAAAGGCGUUACAUAACCAUUUCUGUGAAAACAGUUUAUUUUUUAAAUUUUAAGAAGUUAUAUAUAACAUGUAUAAUUACUUUCGUAUACAAAGAGAAAAAUUUCAAGAGAGAUACAUUAACUUCCACCCGACCCCCAAUUUUUCAAAAGCUUACAACUUGAAAAUGAAUACAUGAUUCUAUCAAUAUUUUUGUCUCUUUAAGAUAUAAUAUAAAAAUUACUUUUCAAAUUGAUAAAAUGCCCAAGGGCCCAGCUUGAUAUUACUGUAAAUGUGAAAACCCUGGUAGUUUGAGCAAGUAUGGCCCCUUUUAAUACGUUUGACAUAUCUACAUUUGAUUGUGAUUACAUUUUGAUAAUAGGCAUCUUUUUAAAGACAUCAAGAAAUUUAGUGGGCCAUUCUAUACACUCUUUAUAGAAAAAGUUAACAUUGACAAAGAAUUAUGAAUCAUGAUAAUGUGCCACAUAUAGUUGACCUACUGCGUUAUUACAUCUGAGAAACGUAUAUAAAUAGCGUAAUUUUAACAUUGAUCACUCAUAAAAAUGGAGACGUUCCACAUGCAAAAAAAACUAUAAUUUUGAUUCAAACAGUCGCUGUUACAUUUAAUCUCUCUUCCUUNNNNNNNNNNNNNNNNNNNNNNNNNNNNNNNNNNNNNNNNNNNNNNNNNNNNNNNNNNNNNNNNNNNNNNNNNNNNNNNNNNNNNNNNNNNNNNNNNNNNNNNNNNNNNNNNNNNNNNNNNNNNNNNNNNNNNNNNNNNNNNNNNNNNNNNNNNNNNNNNNNNNNNNNNNNNNNNNNNNNNNNNNNNNNNNNNNNNNNNNNNNNNNNNNNNNNNNNNNNNNNNNNNNNNNNNNNNNNNNNNNNNNNNNNNNNNNNNNNNNNNNNNNNNNNNNNNNNNNNNNNNNNNNNNNNNNNNNNNNNNNNNNNNNNNNNNNNNNNNNNNNNNNNNNNNNNNNNNNNNNNNNNNNNNNNNNNNNNNNNNNNNNNNNNNNNNNNNNNNNNNNNNNNNNNNNNNNNNNNNNNNNNNNNNNNNNNNNNNNNNNNNNNNNNNNNNNNNNNNNNNNNNNNNNNNNNNNNNNNNNNNNNNNNNNNNNNNNNNNNNNNNNNNNNNNNNNNNNNNNNNNNNNNNNNNNNNNNNNNNNNNNNNNNNNNNNNNNNNNNNNNNNNNNNNNNNNNNNNNNNNNNNNNNNNNNNNNNNNNNNNNNNNNNNNNNNNNNNNNNNNNNNNNNNNNNNNNNNNNNNNNNNNNNNNNNNNNNNNNNNNNNNNNNNNNNNNNNNNNNNNNNNNNNNNNNNNNNNNNNNNNNNNNNNNNNNNNNNNNNNNNNNNNNNNNNNNNNNNNNNNNNNNNNNNNNNNNNNNNNNNNNNNNNNNNNNNNNNNNNNNNNNNNNNNNNNNNNNNNNNNNNNNNNNNNNNNNNNNNNNNNNNNNNNNNNNNNNNNNNNNNNNNNNNNNNNNNNNNNNNNNNNNNNNNNNNNNNNNNNNNNNNNNNNNNNNNNNNNNNNNNNNNNNNNNNNNNNNNNNNNNNNNNNNNNNNNNNNNNNNNNNNNNNNNNNNNNNNNNNNNNNNNNNNNNNNNNNNNNNNNNNNNNNNNNNNNNNNNNNNNNNNNNNNNNNNNNNNNNNAGAAAGUACGAGAGAGAAACCUACUAUUAAAAACAGUGUGUUGUAAAGAGACCUACACAAACUUUGUACUUAGUGAUACAAAAAUUUUAGAUUUUUUUGAAAAGUGUCAUUUUAAAGAUUUUCUUAAGUAAAUUUUUAUCCAGAUCAUUAUACCGUUUUAAUAUAUUGUUGAAACUAUUGUGGAAGAUGCAUGAUUACGAAAUCGAAGUAACAGGAUUAUUUUGCAUUUAAAUAAAAUGGUGAUGAAUGUGUAGUAGUAAGAUUUGAUGACAUUUUUUUAUGUUUUUCUUUUCCAAUGAUUUUGUGAGUUAUGCACACAGUGGUUAUGUGUCAUGCGUCAUGUGAUAAACCAACGUUCAUCUUCACACAUAUGUAUGUUGUAAGAUUUGUAAAUACAUCUUUUUUAUUAUUUUUAGAAUCAGAUUAUUUUAUUGUUCACAUUCGACUUGAAAUCAACAUUUUAAAUUGGAAAUCUGGAUUCAUUCAGUUGAACAGUUGAAAUUUGUAUGUUUUGGUUGAAUGUGUAUUAAUGUCAUGUAGAAUGCAAACUUUUAUAGAAAGUAGUCUUUUACCAAAAUGUUUUUUUUGUAUAAUUGCUCACAUAUCUGUACAUAUAAUCUGGCUAACAUUCCACAAACAUGAAUUUCAAGGCAUAAUAUAUUCAGAUACAGGAAAAGCAGUUCAAAUGAGAUUUAUGACAAAGCUGACAAAAUUUAACUAAGUUAAGGGGAUCAUUAUAUGGAAUAGAAUCAUUAUGGAGCAUAAGUAAAUUUAUAAAGUUUGAAAAUGGAAUCUCAUUUCUGAUAAUUGUUUGUUGGAAAUAACCAAGAAUACAGCUGAUGUCAGUCUAGGUUUUAGCUAAAUACAUUUACUGUAAUAGUUUGAAGGUCCUUUGUUGUCAGAGUGCAAUAAUGGUUAUGGGGCUUAUAGCAAAAUCAUUUAGAUAUAUCUUAUAUACAUUUAACAGAGAGAAAUAUAAAAAUAAAAAACCAUAUGCCUUUAGGGGGAAUUAGUUUUGUAUACAAAAUUUCUAAGAAGAGUUUAGAGUAACAUAUAUCCAAGGUAUUUAACAUAUUACAGGGGACCUUCAGAAUGUUGUAGUACUUGUGAUAUGUAGAUUAGAAAAAGAAUAUGUGACAUGUUUAAAAUAUUCCCUAUACAUCAUCCUACCUGUAAUAUUAGAUAAAAGUUCUGAACCCCAACUCUCCAAAGACAGGUUGAUUUUAUUACUUAUAUGUAUAUACAAGUCUGAAUUGGUUGUGACUACUACAUGCUGCAGAGUAUAGGUGAUAUUUUAAACAUAACUAGGCAAUACUCCAGAGCAAUAAGAAGCCUUU